ACGAGCUGAUGGCAAACACUCUAUUUUUAUUGAAUUGAUGAUACUAUAUGCAUCAAACCGUUUGUAUGGGAGAAGGGGACGAUGAGCAAACUACAAGGACUAAAAGGGUGCAUCAAAGCAUGAACCACCCAUGGAGACAAUGAUCUUGGGGAGAGAAAGAAGCAUCGCAAGCACGACUAUCAGUUCAAUGUAAACAAAUACAAAAAACCAGUCCCCAAUUUGAUCAGGCUCGCCCCCUCCGCGAAUCAUCUAAGGGGGGCGAUAUGUAUCGAAUGUAAGACAACGCAAAUGGAAAAGGCAUUGUUUAUUACAGGCCUAAAAAUACCACUCACGCUCCGACGCAGGCAUCCUCCUCUCCCUCCGUUAUUCCAAGCUUCUGGGCACGAGACCUUCAAGUGUGGUGUUUGUUCUUUGCCAUCAACGAUGACAGAACCUCGACGAGUGUGCGAUCUUACAGGCUCUUGGCUGCGGCAAUGACGCUCUCCGCGGUGAUGCCGUACUCCUUGUAGAUCUUCGGGGCAGGAGCGCUGGCGCCGAACUUGUCGAUGCCGAUGGUCUUGCCCUUGGAUCCAACGUACUUUUGCCAUCCGAGGGUAGAGCCAGCCUCAAUGCUGAUCCUUGCGGUGACAGCCUCAGGGAGCACGCUCUCCUUGUAUUCAUCUGACUGCUCGUCGAAAAGCUCCCAGCAGACAAAUGACACAACGCGGACAGUCUUCCCCUCCUUCGUCAACUCUUCGGCAGCCUUCACAGCAAUCUCUACCUCAGAACCAGUGCUCAUUAUGAUGAAGUCAGGCUUGUUGUCGGUCGAGUUGUCAGAGAUAGUGUAUCCACCCUUCGCAACGCCCUCAAUUGAGGUACCAGGCAGAUGAGGAAGCUUUUGCCUGGAGAGAGCCAGAAUAGAUGGCCUCUUCCUGUUGAGGACAGCCACCUUGUAUGCCCCGGCAGUCUCCUUGCCAUCAGCAGGACGGAACAUCAGCAUGUUUGGCAUCGCACGGAAGCUCACCAAGUGCUCAAUGGGUUGAUGGGUCGGACCAUCUUCUCCCAGACCAAUAGAGUCAUGGGUCAUGACAUAGAUAACUCCAGCUUCAGACAAGGCUGAGAUCCUCAUGGCACCUCUCAUGUAGUCGGUGAAAACAAAGAAAGUUGCACAGUAUGGAAUGAGCCCUGGGGUGUGCAGCGCAAUGCCGUUGCAAAUGGCGCCCAUUCCGUGCUCCCUGACUCCAAAGCGGACAUUGCGCUCCUCAGGGGUAUCCUUCUGGAAGUCGCCAAACAUCUUAAGCAAUGUCAUGUUGGAGGAUGCAAGAUCAGCACUACCUCCAAUAAGACCAGGCACAACUUUAGCAAGUGCAUUCAAGCAUUGCUGGGAGAGAUUCCUGGUGGCAUCUGCAGGGCUCUCGGUUGUGUAUUGCUGGACAAAUCAAACAAUCUACCAUCAGUGAUCUCAUUGUUUACAUAUCAGCUAAAGUAUCACAAGUAAACAUGGCAAACCACUUACAGGAAGAGCAUCGGCCCAGCCAGCGGGCAACUCUCCUGUAAUGAUACUUUUCAAGGUGGCGGCAUCUUCUGGGUACUUCUGCUCGUACUGUGCAAACUUAGCAUCCCAGUCAGCCUCAAGAGCGGCACCUUGGGGAAUAUGGCGGCUCCAGUGGCUGCACAACAGUUCAGGCAAAAAGAAAUGAUAAGCUGGACACCAAGCAGGUUCACCACCCUCAUUCAGAUAACCAAUACACACAAUAGACAAACCUCUUGACAUCCUCAGGCACAAAGAAUGGCUCAUAUGGCCAUCCAAGGUUUGCCCUGGUCGCUUCGACCUCGCUGGUGCCCAAUGCAGCUCCGUGCACAGCGUAUGAGUUGGCCUUGUUGGGAGAUCCAAAACCGAUUGUGGUAGUCACCUAAAAAGGGCAAAAUCUUGGGUAAAUAUGAUGAACUGUACAACAACAACAACAAAACAGAGAUGAUUCUUCAUCAGAUAAUAAAAGAAAGUAACCUUGAUCAUUGUGGGCUUGUCGGUAACUGAUUUUGCUUCCUGGAUGGCUUUACGGAUCUCGUCAUAACCAUCGUUGCCAUUCUUAACCCAGAGUGUGUGCCACCCAAGAGCCUCAAAGCGGCCACUCACAUCCUCUGUAAAAGCAAUCUCUGUGUCUCCGUCAAUGGAGAUGUGGUUGUCAUCAUAGAAAACAAUUAGCUUGCCAAGACCCCAAUGCCCAGCCAAGGAGCAAGCUUCAGUCAAGAUACCCUCCAUGUUGCACCCAUCUCCCACAAUACAGUACCUAUAGAAAAUUGCAUACUAGGUUAACGUACUGCACCACUCAAACUAAACGGAAGACAACAACGUCAGAAUAUUACGUGUAGUGGUCAACGAUUUCACUGUCAGGCUUGUUGAAACGAGCGGCCAGGUGCUUCUCAGCAAGCGCCAACCCGACGGCAUUCGCGAUACCCUGACCAAGAGGACCUGCAUAAGCCAAGCAAAAGGGAAAAUUAGUCUCAUGCUCCGGCAUGGCAGGUCAGAGUUGUUGUGAGCUCAGCUGAGAUGGACAGACCAGUGGUGACUUCAACUCCAGGAGUCUCGAAGUUCUCGGGGUGGCCCGGGGUGGAGCUUCCCCACUGCCUGAACUGCUUCAGGUCCUCUUCCUGCGGCAGAACAGGGGACACGGUUACAACAAGAUCAGUGGCGCCAUAAGAGGUAAAUCGGCCAUGUUAAACACCUAAGCAGAUUACUCCAGGUUUAAGAAACUACUGUACUAAACAUGAGUGAUGAAUCCAAGGUGCACAAUCUGAGCUUCCAACAAAAUUUUGACAGGAACUAUAAAUUUAACGAAACAGAUCUCUGACAGCUGGACAAAGGUAGGGCGUUUUCUACUAUGACAGGAUCGACCCAAGAAAAAUAGCAGUCAGGAUCUGGCCUUUCGACUGUUUCACCAAACAAAGAUCCAACUUUGCACAAACCUACUCCCGAUUUCGCCGCCCCAACUAACAGAAAUCGGCGGCACAGAUGACAGGACAGGAAAGGGAGAAAAAAAUAACAGACGCAAGAAUCGCGGGCCGCGGCGAGGCGAAGCAGAGGACGGGGAGAGGGUUACCUUGACGGCGUCGUAGCCGGCGAGGUGGAGGAGGGCGUACUGGAGCAUGCAGCCGUGGCCGGCGGAGAGGACGAAGCGGUCGCGGUUGAACCAGUAGGGGUUCUUGGGGUUGUAGCGCAUGACCUCGUCGUAGAGGAUAUGGCCCAUGGGCGCGCACCCCAUGGGCAGGCCGGGGUGGCCGGACACGGCCUUCUCGACGGCGUCGAUGGCCAGGAACCGGAUCGCGUUGACCGACUUGUCGAGCAGCUCGCCCGUGGCGGCCGCCUCGACGGUCUCGACGGCCGCGGAGGCGCGCACCCGCUGGGUGCCGCUCCUGCGGGAGGAGGAGGCGGCGGCGGCCGCCGCGGCCCGGCGCGCCGGGAGCGGCGAGCGGAGGGCGCGGCCGGCGAGCGAGCUGAGGCGGAAGCCCAGGCGCUCGGCCGGGGCCGCCGCCGGGGAGGAGGGGGCGNNNNNNNNNNNNNNNNNNNNNNNNNNNNNNNNNNNNNNNNNNNNNNNNNNNNNNNNNNNNNNNNNNNNNNNNNNNNNNNNNNNNNNNNNNNNNNNNNNNNNNNNNNNNNNNNNNNNNNNNNNNNNNNNNNNNNNNNNNNNNNNNNNNNNNNNNNNNNNNNNNNNNNNNNNNNNNNNNNNNNNNNNNNNNNNNNNNNNNNNNNNNNNNNNNNNNNNNNNNNNNNNNNNNNNNNNNNNNNNNNNNNNNNNNNNNNNNNNNNNNNNNNNNNNNNNNNNNNNNNNNNNNNNNNNNNNNNNNNNNNNNNNNNNNNNNNNNNNNNNNNNNNNNNNNNNNNNNNNNNNNNNNNNNNNNNNNNNNNNNNNNNNNNNNNNNNNNNNNNNNNNNNNNNNNNNNNNNNNNNNNNNNNNNNNNNNNNNNNNNNNNNNNNNNNNNNNNNNNNNNNNNNNNNNNNNNNNNNNNNNNNNNNNNNNNNNNNNNNNNNNNNNNNNNNNNNNNNNNNNNNNNNNNNNGGGCCGCGAUGGUGGCGUGCGCGGCGGCGACGGAGUGCGCUGCCAUGGCGGUGUGUGGCGGAGGACGGCGGAGAUGGCGAGGUGGGUGGGGUGGGGUGGGACGGGGGGUAGGGGGGAUGGCCGAGGGGUUAUGUAUAGAUUUCCAGGUGCGUUUUGGGGGGCUCGUUGGGGUGGGGUAGAGGGAGAGGAUGGCUGUGGGGUUUUCUGUGGACUUGGUGCAUGGGCCGUGGACCGUAGUCUCAAUCCUAAGCCGCCGGUGGCUGAUGUAAGCAAGAUAUUAUUGUUAAUUAAUAAUCAGCCUUUCCCUCAAAAAAAAAUUAAUAAUCAGCCUGAUACCCUCAAAAAAAUUAAUAAUCAGCCUGAUUAGUGUGACAUGUCAUGUUGAUUUGAAUAAAAUGAGUAAAAAAAUAUAAGUUGGUAGCACAAUAGAUUUUAAAUAAUCUCCUUUUAUAGAGCAUCUACAACCGGACUCACUUUCCCUAAACGUCUAGCCGGACGGCCGAGACGUCAUCCGCGAUGUAGGUCGUGCAGACACGUCUGGACAUGUCCACCAUGUCGACAGCCCAGUUUGGUAAGUACGACUCAGUACGAUCCACAUAUACCCCGCAUCGGACCAAACCCUAGCCCUCACUCUUACCGCUCUACUCCACUCCAAUCCAGUUCCCAUUCCUCCCGUCGCCUCCCCUCCCUUCAGCUCCACCAUGGUGGGCUUCACCGGUGGAUCUGAGUAUGAUCAGUCCGGAUCCAUCGACUCGGAGCUUGCCGCUUGCUCGGACAAGGAGGAUGGAUCCGACAUGGGCGCAUCCCGUCGCAGAUCCAUUAGCCAGGUGUCUUCACCGCCAUUCUGUAUCCGAGUUUGCUCCAUCGCCGCAGCCGGCGAGUGCGGUUGAGCGGAUCCCCCAGCUGAAAGUUUCGGCGCCCCGGCUCAACGUAUCCACGUGGUGGUCCUUCUCCCCACAAAUGUCAACCUCGAAGUCUAAGGACAAUGGCUGCAAUGCUCAAGGUCGCGACGUCCCGGAUGUGAAAGCUACGGACGAGUGUCCAUGAUCGAGGCACGGCAUGCCCUCGAUGACAGGGAGAAGGCGUGCCGCAUCGUGGAGUGGCAGCAUGCCAGGAACAAGAAGGCCGAGGAGGAUGCCCAUGCGCGGAUCCUGGCGAAGCGGCAAGACCAGACCCUCGUGUUAGAGGAAGCUUGGGCCAUCCCUGCCCUCGUUGAGCGAUUGCGGGUGUGGACAAAUGAAGGGUGGCCGGCUCGUGUCCGCGAAGAUACAGGAGGCCAGAUUUACCCAUUUCGGUUGUAGAUGCCCUUAGUCCAUGCAAUGAUGUGAACUUUUUUUUUUGCGGGAAAUAUGAACUCCACACUAAAGUGAGUGAACAAAAUGUAUAGAUUUAAUACUAUGCUUGCCGUACAAAAUAGCAGCCGGGGCAUAUAUACAUACAUAAACAAAUAACUGAACUAACCUUGUUGCUCAUCAGAGAACAAUGGGUUUUGGCUACUUUGGGCGUCAUCAGGUUUGGGUGCACCGUGCACCUAUGGACCGGGCGCACGGGGGAAGGUGUGGUGAGGUGGGUUGGUGGAUGAGGGGCUCGUCGGCAGCCGUGGAUUGGACCAGACGGUCAGAUCACGGCCGUCGGAAGGGGGUAGGAAACGACUGGAUAUUAUAAAAGAUAUUUUCCCGGCCUUUUGUGUUUUUUUUUUGGGUCGCGAAAGCUUGGCCCUUUGCGCAGGUUGGGGGCGUCGCCGUCACGGUUGUUUUCUGGAGUCAUUCCAGCCUCGACGGCGAUGGGUUUCAUGCCAUGAGAAUUUCAAGUCAGAAACGCUUCAUAGGUCCGGCGGCAUGGUGCUUUUUUGGUGCUGUGUGUGUCGUUGGUAAUUUAUUCUUGCGCGUGAAACCCAGCCACACGAGGAUAACAACAGAGCGAUAAUAGGAUGGAUUGACAUGUUAUCCACGGGCAGCAUGGAUCUGUGCAUGCGAAUAUUCCUUGGUGAUUUUUGCAAAAAGAAAUAAGUGUGUAUAAUUCAAGAUUUUUAUGACCUUUUGUCUAGAGGGGUAGGGGUGUGGGUGACUUGAAAUGGCACCGUACUGGUUUCCAUUGGCGCGGCGAGAAGGGCUCGACAGUUUCCUAGCGUCACCACAUUGGCGCGCAUGAGCUAAACCCGAGACCGUUCCGUACUGAUUUUCAUUGGUGCGGCGAGAAGGGCUCGGCAAUUUUCUAGUGUCGCCACCACGUGUAUUGGUGCUAUAUUGUCCAGAUAUCUUUACGGGGUUAAAAAGCGACAAAAAAGUUCAAAAAGGUUAGAAGUACAAAACCGGGAGUAACAAAGGGAUCCAUGCACCCCUAGGGAUAUAUGCGCGAGGAUAUUCUUCAUAUUUUUGCGGGUACGUUAAUUCAAGAUAUUCUUUUAGACUUCUCAUGGCACCACACAUCCCCUUGGCUCACUCACAAGUGGCAAUCUAUAUGUUUGCAUCCGCGGAUCUUCCAGGCUCAUAGUGGCCCAUGCUCCAUUCUCAUGCCAGUUACAAAAUCCAAGUUUUUGGCCAAUAAUGAACAAAUAUAUCUCUUGUUCUCCUUGGUGUGAAGUUCGGGUCUGAUUUGACUAUGCCUAAAAUUCAAUUUACCAUUUUUGUACACUAACGGAAUUUUGGUCUUCGUUGGGAGUGUUGCCAAGCCACCAUACUCGUUUUUUAGUCAGCCAAGCUACCAUACUAGUACCCCUUUUACAACUGUAACGGAGAUUGUUAUGCUCAUGUUGUUGUGAUUCUUUACGGGUUUUAGAAAAGUUCUCGUUAUGCCAUUUUUGCCAACACUGAAAGUUGGAGCGACGCGGUUGGUAGGUACCUUGUCGUAAAAAUGGAUAAAAAUGAAUGUAUCAAGAAUUUAAAUACGUCUACAUACAUUCAUUUCUCCGAUAAGUAAUUCCAAACAAGGGAGUAGUUCUUAGUCUUUCGUAUCAAUGAGAUUUCCCGUGUAAUCACCUUUAUCAAUUGGGCGUGUCUUAUUGUAUUAUGCUGCUUACUCGUUGGUUGAACACGAACCGCAAGUCGUGGGGUUGUGCCAUAAAUACUUCUGUAUUUACUUAAUUUCUUGACAUUCGUCUUCAACGACUUUUUAGCACGCCGGUGUCUCUUUGCUUUGGCAACCGAAGGGAAAAAAAUUGGCAAUGUUGUCACUCGUAUAGGCAAGCAUGAAAUUGGCUAGAAAUCUAAGCUAAACAAAUACUCUCUCCGCAAAUAAAUAUAAGACGUUUUCGAGACUUGACACGAGGCCUCUAUGCAAAAAAAAUAAAAUCCGAGGACAAAUACUGUACAUACACAACGGAAUCAUUUCAAAUUUUCAAUGAGCUGCAGCAUACAUAUGCAUGAGCAUGACGCAUCCAUGAUGUGUCCUGGCCACUGCCGCGUUCAAGAGGCCAACGGCGGCACGGCUCCACGGGAGCUGCUACGCUUGGCAACCUUUGACUAUUUGCAAAGUUCACCCUUUGAAAGCACAAAGGGAUCAAUCAGGCGACGGGCCAUCUGGGUACGGGAGUACGUGAGCGCAUCGGCUGAGUUGAGUCUCAUCCUUGGCUGGCUACUUGCUGCCCCAAGGACCAUGCACGCAGCUGACCAUGAGAUUCUGACGUGUGCACCAAAUGUAACUACGAGUAGCACUUUGCACUUUGCUUGUGUUGCUUGGCGUGUGCAACCGCGGGGGGUGUUUCGGUCGGUAUCAUCAUCAUCAUCAUCAUCAUCAUCAUCAUGCAGUAACAGCAGUAGCUUUCUCGACUUGUUGUCAACAAAAAUGAAAAAACAAUGGCCAUCUCGGGUCAAAAAAGGCAUUAAUUAAAAGGCUUGCAGUGCUCGUGGUGGAAUCAGUUUUCGUUGCUUGCCAAAAAGCUUGCGGUGUUUUUCUUUUCUUUUUUUGAAAUGCGCCACGAGUUUCUUGGUUGGUGUGGGGAUUCUUGUUUUUUUUAAAGGACAAGAGCAGUUUCGGUUGGUGGAUUCUUUAAGAACGAGAUCCAUGCACGACGAACGAGAGGCGCGUACAUGGGCCGGGCAAGGGAGCAAAGGCUUUAAGCCGAGCCUGGUUCGACAUCUGCUUGGCCCGUUUGCUAAGUCGUUUGUGCAUUUUCUUAGGGCAUGUACAAUGGUGGCUUGUCUCAAAAAAUGUACAAUAACGGCAUAUGGAUACAUAUGUCCCAUGACAAAAAGUAAUUUGAGGCAUUUACAUUAAUUUUUUCUCUCCAAUGCAAGUUAUUACUAACGGGCCUCAUUAAGAAAUAGAAAGAUAAAGACUCUAGUACACAUGCAUUUCUAUUUUUCACUCCAACCUUUUUAGUUUUUGUCAUCGGAUCACACUUUUUCUCUUCAAUCACCCGCCUUCUGAAGAGGAUCCCGCUUCCCUAUCCGAACCUACUUUACGUCAUAUCCGAUUCUACAUGGUAUGCGAGGCAUCACCUUAAGGCUAUGCAUGGUACAUGUCCUUAGCAAGCGAUUUUUUUUUGCCCCUCAAAAAAAAAGUAAUGCUUUUUUGCCUCUAAGAAGAAAGAGCAAAGUCUUUUUUUCAGAUACAAGUGGGUAAAGUUUUGCCAAUCGAUUAACUUGCGUGCGAGUGGCCAAAUGAGUCAUCAUGUAAACCAUUACUAGAUUUUUUUAUGAGCAAUUGAUGGGGCCGAAUUAUAUAUGUAUUUUAUUCAAAGCGAAGGGCUUUCAUUUCAUUCCAAAUCCCCCAAGCGAGGACCACCAUUAGGGAGGUGGUGGCCCUUUUUCGGGAUGUCAUAAGCAUGUUGAUCCACCAAUUGUUAGCCUUACCUUAAAAAAACAAUUGUUAGCCGAAAAGUGUGCUCUCUAAGGCCUCAUUUGGUUCAUAAGUUGCAAAUAUCAUAACAAUAGGGAACAUAUAGAAUUGAGAUGACAUAUAUCUCGAAUCCUAUGAACUAGGAGAAUGCCCCGCGCGUUGCUGCAGAAAUUUGUGCGGAGUAAAAACGCUGGCAUAUUACAAUUUCUAGAUGCAUGGAUAAUAAGGAAUAUCAUUUUUCUAAUAUGUUAGCAUAGUAUCCUAAAGCGAGACACAAAAAAAUAAAUAACACCGUGCCUCUUUGUGUAGUCGAGGAAGGGGUUGCUUUUUUUUGCUAACUUGGACACGUCGACUUACCAAAGGGAACCACUAGCAAUCAGACUUCUGAUGACUAGCGUUUCAUCAGACAAGUCCCCCACCGUACGAUUGAAAUCUUUUGAUGCGCCAGAUUGAUCAAGGAAAACGUGAUGUUAUUUUUAGUAAGCCGUGAUUUGCUUCCACCAAAUAAUGAAUAUAGAAAUUAAUGAUUCCUAGAAAUUACGUUAAAAACUCCAUUUUCGUUUUUUUCUCUUUUGGUAAGUCGUGAUUGCUUCCAAACAAACAAAUAUAAAAAUUAAUGCUUCCCAGAAAUUAGACAUGCUUCCAACAAACAAAUAAAGCUUUAUUUACAUCUUUUUUCUUUAGCGCAAAGUUGGCGUAGAAACUUCAUUUUUUGUCAGUGGAAGCAUCGUGUGGCGGAAACAUAUUAUCCGAUAAUAUGAUAGAAAUUAUUUUUAAGCAUUUUUUUCAACCUUGUCGUACCGUUUUUUAGACACUUUGGAAACAUUUUUGUGUGUAAUAGAAACUAUAUUCAUGUUGGAUGGAAACAUUUGCUUCGCAAUGGAAAUUAUGUGGAUAAAUUCAUUUUGUUUCCAUCAGCUAGAGAAUUUGCUUCCAUAUCAACCAGAUAUUGUUUUGAUUUGGCCAAAUUUUAUAUCCAGUGUACCAGCGUAUUUAUUUUGUUAUUGAUCAGUGUACAAGCAAAGUCAUAGCAACAUCAAUCUUAGAACAUAGUGGAUACUAGGGAUCAAACUCUAACAAAACUAACUCGAUUACAUGAUAAAUCUCAUCCAACUCAUCACCGUCCAGCAAGCCUACGAUGGAAUUACUCACGCAUGACGGUGAGCAUCAUGAAAUUGGUGAUGGAGGAUGGUUGAUGAUGACGAUGGCGACGGAUUCCCCUCUCCGGAGCCCCGAACGGACUCCAGAUCAGCCCUCCCGAGAGGUUUUAGGGCUUCGCGGCGGCUCCGUAUCGUAAAACGCGAUGAAUCCUUCUCUCUGAUUUUCUUUCUCCCCGAAACCAAAUAUAUAGAGUUGGAGUUGAGGUCGGAGGAGCUUCAGGAGGCCCACGAGGUAGGGGGAGCGCCCCCACCCUCGUGGACAGGUGGUGGGCCCCCUGGCCUUCAUCUUUUGCAAGGAUUUUUUAAUAUUUCCAAAAAGUUGUUCCGUGAAGUUUCAGGUCAUUCCGAGAAUUUUUAUUUCUGCACAUAAAUAACACCAUGAUAAUUCUGCUGAAAACAGCGUCAGUCUGGGUUAGUUCCAUUCAAAUCAUGCAAGUUAGAGUUCAAAACAAGGGCAAAAGUGUUUGGAAAAGUAGAUACGACGGAGACGUAUCAACUCCCCCAAGCUUAAACCUUUGCUUGUCCUUAAGCAAUUCAGUUGAUAAACUGGAAGUGAUAAAGAAAAACUUUUACAAACUCUGUUUGCUCUUGUUGUUGUAAAUAUGUAAAGCCAGCAUUCAAGUUUUUAGCAAAGAUUAUGACUAACCACAUUCACAAUAACGCAUAGGUCUCAUGUUUACUCAUAUCAAUGGCAUAAUCAACUAGCGAGCAAUAAUAAUAAAUCUCGGAUGACAACACUUUCUCAAAGCAAUCAUAAUAUGAUAUAACAAGAUGGUAUCUCCUAGUCCUUUCUGAGACCGCAAAACAUAAAUGUAGAGCACCUUUAAAGAUCAAGGAUUGACUAGACAUUGUAAUUCAUGGUAAAAGAGAUCUAGUCAAGUCAUACUCAAUGUAAACUAAUAGUAAUGAAUGCAAAUAACAGCGGUGCUCUCCAACUGGUGCUUUUUAAUAAGAAGAUGAUGACUCAACGUGAAAGUAAAUAGAUAGGCCCUGCGCAGAGGAAAGCAGGGAUUUGUAGAGGUGCCAGAGCUCGGUUUUGAAAUAGAGGUGACUAAUAUUUUGAGCGGUAUACUUUCAUUGUCAACAUAACAACCAAGAGAUGGCAAUAUCUUCCAUGCUACACACAUUAUAGGCGGUUCCCAAACAGAAUAUUAAAGUUUAUACUCCCCCUUCCACCAAUAAGCAUCAAUCCAUGGCUUGCUCGAAACAACGAGUGCAUCCAACUAACAAGAGUCCCAGGGGGAGUUUUGUUUGUAAUUAUUUUGAUUUGAUUUGCAUAAAGCAUGGGACUGGGCAUCCCGGUGACCAGCCACUUUCUCGUGAGUGAGGAGCGGAGUCCAUUCCUCUUGAGAAUAACCCGCCUAACAUGGAAGAUAUAGACAUCCCUAAUUGAUACAUGAGCUAUUCGAGCAUACAAAACAUGAUAAUUAUUUGAAGGUUUAGAGUUUGGCACAUACAAAUUUACUUGGAACGGCAGGUAGAUACCGUAUAUAGGUAGGUACAGUGAACUCAUAUGGAAUAACUUUGGAGUUUAUGGGGUUGGAUGCACAAGUAGUAUUCCCGCUUAGUACAGGUGAAGGCUAGCAAAAGACUAGGAAGCGACCAGCUAGAGAGCGACAAAAGUCAUGAACAUGCAUUAAAAUUAAUCAACACCGAAUGCAAGCAUGAGUAGGAUAUAAUCCACCAUGAACAUAAAUAUCGUGAAGGCUAUGUUGAUUUUGUUUCAACUACAUGCGUGAACAUGCGCCAAGUCAAGUCACUUAAAUCAUUCAGAGGAGGAUACCAUCCUAUCAUAUCACAUCAUAACCAUUUUAAUAGCAUGUUGGCACGCAAGGCAAACCAUUAUAAGCUCCUAGCUAAUCAAGCAUGGCGCAAGAAACUAUGAUCUCUAGUUGUCAUUGCAAACAUGUUUAUCCAUAAUAGUCUUAAUCAGGAAUGAUGAACUAAUCAUAUUUACAAAAACAAGAGAGGUCGAGUUCAUACCAGCUUUUCUCAUCUCAAUCAGUCCAUCACAUAUCGCCAUAAUUGCCUUUCACUUGCACGACCGAAUGAUGUGAAUAAUAAUAAUAAUAAUAAUAAUAAUAAUAAUAAUAAUAAUAAUAAUAAUAAUAAUAAUAAUAAUGCACGUGCAUUGGACUAAGUUGGAAUCUGCAAGCAUUCAAUAAACAGGAGAAGACAAUGCAAUAUGGGCUCUUUUGUUAGAUCAACAAUAAUGCAUAUAAGAGCCACUUCAAUAAUUUAAUCAUGGUCUUCUCCUAUCGACCCCCAAAGAAAAGAAAAGAAAUAAACCUAUUUACACGCGAAAGCUCCCAACAAGCAAAAGAAGAACAGGAAAUCUUUUUGGGUUUUAUUUUUAAUUACUACUACAAGCAUGAAAAUUAAACCAAUUAAAAGCUACAACUAAUUUUUUUGGUAUUUCUUAAGGUUUAUUAAACACACAAGAAGAAAGCAUAAAAAGGAAAAUAAACUAGCAUGGAUGAUAUAAUGAAAAAGUAUGAGCACCGACAUCUAGCAAUGAGUGUGUGAACAUAAAUGUAAUGUCGGUGAGAAAUACGUACUCCUCCAAAGCUUAGGCUUUUGGCCUAAGUUGGUCUAUGGCCACGGUUGGCCUGGCGGAUAUCCAUAAUAAUAGUUGGGGUCGUACUGAGAAGAAGAAGACUCCGAUUGCCACUGGUUGGCAAUCAUCUCCGGAUCCCACUGGUAAUUAGACUGUCGUGGAGGCUCAACUUGUGGUUCCGGUUCUGGCUCUGUGGCUGAUGUAGGGUUCCGAUAGGCGUGAAUAGCCUCUAACGGAACAAGGUACUGGCCUGCAGAUAAAUCAAAUAAGGAAGGAGCAGGCAGGUUAAUAGUCUCAGGAUGAUGUUUAUCAAAGAACAAUUUGUAUUUAAGCUUUCCUUCCCUAUUCUUAACAAUAAAAUCAUGUGCUACCAUACUCUUAUAAUCUAAGUAAACAUGUGGCAGCAAUUUUUCUUCCUUCUCAUAAUGCCUAAUAGGUAUGUUAAAAUGUGCAGCUAGGCGUGAAGCAUAGAUGCCUCCAAAGAUGGGCCCUUUGGUAUGGUUCAGACUUAACCGUUUAGCAAUAAUAUCGCCCAUACUAACAGAGUUAUCUCUGAAUAAACCGUAGAACAAAAUAAUAAUAUCAGGGACACUAAGGUUUAAACAGUUUCCACGACCAAUUAAGCAACGACUAGCAAAUAUUGCAAAGUAGCAUAAAACAGGAAAAUGUAUGCUAGUGAUUCGUGCAUCAGAAACCUUCCUCGUUUCCCCUACAGUGAUGGUAUCAAUAAACCCAUCCACAUCGUCUCAAUGUGGUUCCUCUACACUGCCCUCGAAAGGGAUCAAACAAACCCGACAAAAAUCAUAAAGUGACAUCUCCUUAUGCUCAUCAUAUAAAUAAAACUCCAUUGUAGGUGGUGAGCUCCUAGAAUGGAAAUGAAAGUUUUGCACAAAGAUAUUUGUGAGUAAGAGAUACUGAUCGCGUCGGUCGUGGAGGAAGGCGGUGAGGCCUGCAUUCUCAGCCAGUUCAUAAAAAUCUUCAUAAAUCCCUGCAGCUCUCAAGAAAUCAUCGGAAGGCCAUUCACACGACCGAACCUCCGCGGUGCGAGGCAGAUUAUAUUUAGGCUUUUGUGCCUUUUCCUUCGAACUUCGGCUCGAUGAGCACCUCAAAAGUCUCUUCAUUAUUUUCUGAAAAAUUCUAAAAAUUUUAGUAACUUCAAAAUAAAAGUAAGCCAAACUCAAUAAUAUUGAUAGCAACUACUCCUACAAGUGCCUAGAGCCUAUAUCAUGCAUCAAAACUACUUUUGACCAUAUAAAUUUGACAUGCAAGAUCAAGAACAGGGUCACCUAAGCAACAUAAAUUUGCAAUGAAUAAAGCACUAGAACAAAAGCUAAUUGGACCAAUGGAGGAGUCACAUACCAAGGAACAAUCCCCCCAAGUAGUUUUGUGAGAGGUGCUUUGAGCAAGGAGAUCGAAAAUGGCAGCAAAACGAGCUUGGACUCGGGUAUGAACUGGAUUUUCAUGUUUGUGGGAGGAAGAAGGAGUGUAUGGGUGAAAGGAUAAGUGGAGGAGGGCCACCGUGGGCCCACGAGGCAGGGGGCGCGCCCAGGGGGUAGGGCGCGCCCUCCACCCUCGUGGCCAGGUAGAUGACCCCCCCUGCUAUGUUCUUAGUGCCAAAUAUUCUCAAAUAUUCCAGAAAAAAUCAUAUUUAAAUUUCAGGGCAUUUGGAGAACUUUUAUUUUUGGGGUAUUUUUAUAUUGCACGGAUAAUCAGAUAACAAACAGAAAAAUACUAUUUUUAUUUUAUUUAAUAUAAAUAACAGAAAGUAAAACGAGGGUACAGAGAGUUGUGCCUUCUAGUUUCAUCCAUCUCAUGAUCAUCAAAAGGAAUCCACUAACAAGGUUGAUCAAGUCUUGUUAACGAACUCAUUCCGAAUAACAUGGAACCGGAGAAAUUUCGAAUAACACUAUGUUACCUCAAUGGGGAUAUGCACAUCCCCAAUAAUAAGAAUAUCAUAUUUCUUCUUGACAGUAGAAAGAGGAAAUUCAAAACCUCCAAAUAUAAUCGAUGGAUUUUUUCCAAUAGAGUUGAUACUAUGAACUUGAGGUUGUUUCCUCGGAAAGUGUACCGUAUGCUCAUUACCAUUAACAUGAAAAGUGACAUUGCCUUUAGUGCAAUCAAUAACAGCCCCUGCAGUAUUCAAAAAGGGUCUUCCAAGAAUAAUAGAUAUACUAUCGUCCUCGGGAAUAUCAAGAAUAACAAAGUCCGUUAAAAUAGUAACGUUUGCAACUACAACACGCACAUCCUCACAAAUACCGACAGGUAUAGCAGUUGAUUUAUCAGCCAUUUGCAAGGAUAUUUCAGUAGGUGUCAACUUAUUUAAAUCAAGUCUACGAUAUAAAGAGAGAGGCAUAACACUAACACCGGCUCCAAGAUCACAAAAAGCAGUUUUAACAUAGUUUCUUUUAAUGGAGCAUGGUAUAGUAGGUACUCCUCGAUCUCCUGGUUUCUUAGGUAUUCCACCUUUAAAAGUAUAAUUAGCAAGCAUGGUGAAAAUUUUAGCUUCCGGUAUCUUUCUUUUAUUUGUAACAAUAUCUUUCAUGUACUUAGCGUAAGGAUUCAUUUUAAGCAUAUCAGUUAACCGCAUACGCAAAAAGAUAGGUCUAAUCAUUUCAGCAAAGCGCUCAAAAUCCUCAUCAUCCUUUUUCUUGGAUGGUUUGGGAGGAAAAGGCAUGGGUUUUCUGAACCCAUGGUUCUCUUUCUUUACCAUGUUUCCUAGCAACAAAGUCUUUCUUAUCAUAACGUUGAUUCUUUGAUUGUGGGUUGCUACCUCUUGAGCACUACGUUGGUUUUCCCCGAAGAGGAAGGGUUGAUGCAGCAAAGUAGCGUAAGUAUUUCCCUCAGUUUUUAAGAACCAAUGUAUCAAUCCAGUAGGAGGCUACGCGCGAGUCCCUCGUACCUGCACAAAACAAAUAAAUCCUCGCAACCAACGCGUUAAGGGGUUGUCAAUCCCUACACGGCCACUUACGAGAGUGAGAUCUGAUAGAUAUGAUAGAUAGGAUAAUAUUUUUGGUAUUUUCAUGAUAAAGAUGCAAAGUAAAAAGCAAAAGGAAAUAACUAAGUAUUGGUAGAUUAAUAUGAUAAAGAUAGACCUGGGGCCAUAUAUUUCACUAGUGGCUUCUCUCGAGAGCAUAAGUAUUCUACGGUGGGUGAACAAAUUACUAUUGAGCAAUUGACAGAAUUGAGCAUAGUUAUGAGAAUAUCUAGGUAUGAUCAUGUAUAUAGGCAUCACGUCCGAGACAAGUAGACCGACUCCUACCUACAUCUACUACUAUUACUCCACUCAGCGACCGCUAUCCAGCAUGCAUCUAGAGUAUUAAGUUAAUGAAAACAGAGUAACGCCUUAAGCAAGAUGACAUGAUGUAGAGGGAUAAACUCAUGCAAUAUGAUGAAAACCCCAUCUUUUUAUCCUCGAUGGCAACAAUACAAUACAUGCCUUGCUGCCCCUACAGUCAUUGGGAAAGGACACCGCAAGAUUGAACCCAAAGCUAAGCACUUCUCCCAUUGCAAGAAAAAUCAAUCUAGUAGGCCAAACCAAACUGAUAAUUCAAAGAGACUUGCAAAGAUAACCAAUCAUACAUAAAAGAAUUCAGAGAAGAUUCAAAUAUUGUUCAUAGGUAGACUUGAUCAUAAACCCAAAAUUCAUCGGUCUUAAUAAACACACCGCAAAAAGAAGAUUACAUCGAAUAGAUCUCCACAAGAAAGGGGGAGAACAUUGUAUUGAGAUCCAAAAAGAGAGAAGAAGCCAUCUAGCUACUAACUAUGGACCCGUAGGUCUGAGGUAAACUACUCACACUUCAUCGGAGGGGCUAUGGUGUUGAUGUAGAAGCCCUCCGUGAUAGAUGCCCCCUUCGGUGGAGCUCCGGAAUAGGCCCCAAGAUGGGAUCUCGUGGAUAUAGAAAGUUGCGGCGGUGGAAUUAGGGUUUUGGCUCCGUAUCUGAUCGUUUGGGGGUACGUAGGUAUAUAUAGGAGGAAGGAGUACGUCGGUGUAGCAACAGGGGGCCCAUGAGGGUGGAGGGCGCUCCUGGGGGGGGGGGGGGUAGGUGCGCCCCCUACCUCGUGGCCUCCUCUUUUGUGUCUUGACAUAGGGUCCAAGUCUCCUGGGUCGUUGAAAAAAUCAUGUUCCCGAAGGUUUCAUUCCGUUUGGACUCUGUUUGAUAUUCCUUUUCUCCGAAACCCUAAAACAGGCAAAAAACAGCAAUUCUGGGUUGGGCCUCCGGUUAAUAGGUUAGUCCCAAAAAUAAUAUAAAAGUGGAUAAUAAAGCCCAAUAAUGUCCAAAACAGUAGAUAAUAUAGCAUGGAGCAAUCAAAAAUUAUAGAUACGUUGGAGACGUAUCAAGCAUCCCAAGCUUAAUUCUUGCUCGUCCUCGAGUAGGUAAAUGAUAAAAACAGAAUUUUUGAUGCGGAGUGCUACUUGGCAUAAUUUUGAUGUAAUUUUUCUUAAUUGUGGUAUGAAUAUUCAGAUCCGAAAUAUUCAAGACAAAAGUUCAUAUUGACAUAAAAUAAUAAUACUCAAGCAUACUAACUAAGCAAUUAUGUCUUCUCAAAAUAACAUGGCCAAAGAAAGUUCAUCCCCACAAAAUCAUAUAGUUUAGUCAUGCUCCAUUUUCGUCACACAAGAAUGCUCUCAUCAUGCACAACCCCGAUGACAAGCCAAGCAAUUGUUUCAUACUUUAGUAAUCUCAAACCUAUAAACUUUCAUGCAAUAUAUGAGCGCGAGCCAUGGACAUAGCACUAUGGGUGGAAUAGAAUAUAAUGAGGGGGGUUAUGUGGAGAAGACAAAAAAGGAGAAAGUCUCACAUCAACGAGGCUAAUCAGUGGGCUAUGGAGAUGCCCAUCGAUUGAUGUUAAUGCAAGGAGUAGGGAUUGCCAUGCAACGGAUGCACUAGAGCUAUAAAUGUAUGAAAGCUCAACAAAAGAAACUAAGUGGGUGUGCAUCCAACUUGCUUGCUCAUGAAGACCUAGGGCACUUGAGGAGGCCCAUUGUUGGAAUAUACAAGCCAAGUUCUAUAAUGAAAAAUUCCCACUAGUAUACGAAAGUGACAAAACAAGAGACUCUCCAUCAUGAAUAUUAUGGUGCUACUUUGAAGCACAAGUGUGGCAAAGGAUAGUAACAUUGUCCCUUCUCUCUUUUUCUCUCAUUUUUUUAUUUGGCCUUUCUCUUUUUUAUAUGGCAUUUUUUUAAUAAUUCCUCACUUGGGACAAUGCUCUAGAAAAUGAUGAUCAUCACACUUCUAUUUAUUUACAACUCAAUGAUUACAACUCGAUGCUAGAACAAAAGAUGACUCUAUAUGAAUUCCUCCGGCGGUGUACCGGGAUAUGCAAUGGACCAAGAGUGACAUGUAUGAAAGAAUUAUGAAUGGUGGCUUUGCCACAAAUACUAUGUCAACUACAUGAUCAUGCUAAGAAAUAUGACAAUGAUGAAUGUGUCAUGAUGAACGGAAUGGUGGAAAGUUGCAUGGCAAUAUAUCUCGGAAUGGCUAUGGAAAUGCCAUAAUAGGUAGGUAUGGUGGCUGUUUUGAGGAAGAUAUAAGGAGGUUUAUGUGUGAAAGAGCGUAUCAUAUCAUGGGGUUUGGAUGCACCGGUAAAGUUUGCGCCAACUCUCAAUGUAGCAAGGGCAAUGCACGGUACCGAAGAGGCUAGUAAGGAUGGAAGGGUGAGAGUGCGUAUAAUCCAUGGACUCAACAUUAGUCAUAAAGAACUCACAUACUUAUUGCAAAAAUCUACAAGUCAUCAAAAACCUCGGUACUACGCGCAUGCUCCUAGGAGGAUAGAUUGGUAGGAAAAGACCAUCGCUCGUCCCCAACCGCCACUCAUAAGGAAGACAAUCAAAUAACACCUCAUGUUUCAAAUUUGUUACAUAACGUUUACCAUACGUGCAUGCUACGUGACUUGCAAACUUCAACACAAGUAUUUCUCAAUUUCACAACUACUCAACUAGCACUACUUUGAUAUUAUUACCUCCAUAUCUCAAAACAAUCAUCAAGCAUCAAACUUCUCUUAGUAUUCAAAUCACUCAUAAGAAAAUUUUACUAAUCUCUAAUACCUAGCAUAUUAAGAUUUUAAGAAAAUUACCAUGCUAUUAAGACUCUCAAAAUAAUCUAAGUGAAGCAUGAGAGAUCAAUAGUUUAUAUAAAACAAAUCCACCACCGUGCUCUAAAAGAUAUAAGUGAAGUACUAGAGCAAAACUAUAUAACUCAAAAGAUAUAAGGGAAGCACAUAGAGUAUUCUAACAAAUUCCAAAUCAUGUAUGGCUCUCUCAAAAGGUGUGUACAUCAAGGAUGAUUGUGGUAAACUAAAAAGAAAAGACUCAAAUAAUACAAGACGCUCCAAGCAAAACACAUAUCAUGUGGUGAAUAAAAAUAUAGCUCCAAGUAAAGUUACCGAUAGAAGUAGACGAAAGAGGGGAUGCCUUCCGGGGCAUCCCCAAGCUUUGACUUUUAGGUGUCCUUAGAUUAUCUUGGGGGUUCCAUGGGCAUCCCCAAGCUUAGGCUCUUGCCACUCCUUGUUCCAUAAUCCAUCAAAUCUUUACCCAAAACUUGAAAACUUCACAAUACAAAACUCAAAAGAAAAUCUUGUGAGCUCCGUUAGCGAAAGAAAACAAGACCACUUCAAGGUAUUGUAAUGAACUCAUUCUUUAUUUAUAUUGGUGUUAAACCUACUGUAUUUCAACUUCUCUAUGGUUUAUAAACUAUUUUACUAGCCAUAGAUUCAUCAAAAUAAGCAAACAACACACGAAAAACAGAAUCUGUCAAAAACAGAACAGUCUGUAGUAAUCUGUAGCUAGCGCAAGAUCUGGAACCCCAAAAAUUCUAAAAUAAAUUUUUGGACGUGAGGAAUUUAUCUAUUAAUCAUCUGCAAAAAUAAUUAAUUAAAUAUCACUUUCCAAAUAAAAAUGACAGCAGUUCUCGUGAGUGCUAAAGUUUCUGUUUUUUACAGCAAGUUUAACAAGACUUUCCCCAAGUCUUCCCAACGAUUCUACUUGGCACAAACACUAAUUAAACAUAAAAAACACAACCAAAACAGAGGCUAGAUAAAUUAUUUAUUACUAAACAGGAGCAAAAAGCAAGUAAUAAAAAUAAAAUUGGGUUGCCUCCCAACAAGCGCUAUCGUUUAACUCCCCUAGCUAGGCAUAACAAGCAAGGAUAGAUCUAGGUAUUGCCAUCUUUGGUUUUCAACUUUUUAGCGGAAGCAAGCUCGAAUCCUGGGGGUUCUUUACGUUUCCCAUCAUAUUCUGAAAUUUUUAGAUCUAAAGAAUCCAACCGCUUAUUGCAAAGAGUAAUCAACAUAUUCAUGCGGUGAAUAUUUCCGCUAACGUUCUUAAGAGGUUCAAGAGACUUCUGUAAAAUUUUAGUAACUUCACAAUUUUUUUCAAAAAUUUGUGUCUCUUCCUAGGUAGGAUGAGGCCCCUUUUGUUGAGGUAGUGUUCCCACUAUACCUUCUAUAAUUUCAAGCGCAAUAUGGGGAUCGAUUUCAAUAAAAUUGCCUUUAGCAACACAAUCCAAGAGUUGUCUAUGAGACAUAUUUAAUCCAACAUAAAAAUUGCAAAGAAAAAUUCUCAGGUUUAUUUCAGAGGUACAAUUACGAUAAGACUCCAUUAUUCUCAACCAGGCAUCUUUUAAGUUUUCUCCUAGUCUUUGUUUAAAGUGAAAGAUUUCGAACUUAGGGGUCAACGGAGAAGAUAAGGGACUAGCCAUAACGACAAGCAAACGGACUAACACACAAGCAAACAAAAAGCAAGCGGGAAAGAAGAGGCAAACGGGAAAGAGAAGGAGGAUAGAGAGAGAGGGCGAAUAAAACAGCAAGGGUGAAGUGGGGGAGAGGAAAACGAGAGGCAAAUGGCAAAUAAUGUAAUGCGGGAGAUAAGGGUAUGUGAUGGGUACUUGGUAUGUUGAAUUUUGCGUAGACCUCCCCGGCAACGGCACCAGAAAUCCUUCUUGCUACCUCUUGAGCACUGCGUUGGUUUUCCCCGAAGAGGAAGGGAUGAUGCAGCAAAGUAGCGUAAGUAUUUCCCUCAGUUUUUGAGAACCAAGGUAUCACUCCAGUAGGAGGCUACGCGCGAGUCCCUCGUACCUACACAAAACAAAUAAAUCCUCGCAACCAACGCGUUAAGAGGUUGUCAAUCCCUACACGGCCACUUACGAGAGUGAGAUCAGAUAGAUAUGAUAAGAUAAUAUUUUUGGUAUUUUUAUGAUAAAGAUGCAAAGUAAAAUAAAAGCAAAAGGAAAUAACUAAGUAUUGGUAGAUUAAUAUGAUAAAGAUAGACCCGGGGGCCAUAGGUUUCACUAGUGGCUUCUCUCGAGAGCAUAAGCAUUCUACAGUGGGUGAACAAAUUACUGUUGAGCAAUUGACAGAAUUGAGCAUAGUUAUGAGAAUAUCUAGGUAUGAUCAUGUGUAUAGGCAUCACGUCCGAGACAAGUAGACCGACUCCUGCCUGCAUCUACUACUAUUACUCCACUCAUCGACCGCUAUCCAGCAUGCAUCUAGAGUAUUAAGUUAAUGAAAACAGAGUAAGGCCUUAAGCAAGAUGACAUGAUGUAGAGGGAUAAACUCAUGCAAUAUGAUGAAAACCCCAUCUUGUUAUCCUCGAUGGCAACAAUACAAUACGUGCCUUGCUGCCCCUACUGUCACUGGGAAAGGACACCGCAAGAUUGAACCCAAAGCUAAGCACUUCUCCCAUUGCAAGAAAAAUCAAUCUAGUAGGCCAAACCAAACUGAUAAUUCGAGGAGACUUGCAAAGAUAACCAAUCAUACAUAAAAGAAUUCAGAGAAGAUUCAAAUAUUGUUCAUAGAUAGACUUGAUCAUAAACCCACAAUUCAUCGGUCUCGACAAACACACCGCAAAAAGAAGAUUACAUCAAAUAGAUCUCCAUAAGAGAGGGGAGAAUAUUGUAUUGAGAUCCAAAAAGAGAGAAGAAGCCAUCUAGCUACUAACUAUGGACCCGUAGGUCUGAGGUAAACUACUCACACUUCAUCGGAGGGGCUAUGGUGUUGAUGUAGAAGCCCUCUGUGAUCGAUGCCCCCUUUGGCGGAGCUCCAGAACAGGCCCCAAGAUGGGAUCUCGUGGAUACAGAAAGUUGCGGCGGUGGAAUUAGGGUUUUGGCUCCGUAUCUGAUCGUUUGGGGGUACGUAGGUAUAUAUAGGAGGAAGGAGUAUGUCGGUGGAGCAACAGGGNNNNNNNNNNNNNNNNNNNNNNNNNNNNNNNNNNNNNNNNNNNNNNNNNNNNNNNNNNNNNNNNNNNNNNNNNNNNNNNNNNNNNNNNNNNNNNNNNNNNNNNNNNNNNNNNNNNNNNNNNNNNNNNNNNNNNNNNNNNNNNNNNNNNNNNNNNNNNNNNNNNNNNNNNNNNNNNNNNNNNNNNNNNNNNNNNNNNNNNNNNNNNNNNNNNNNNNNNNNNNNNNNNNNNNNNNNNNNNNNNNNNNNNNNNNNNNNNNNNNNNNNNNNNNNNNNNNNNNNNNNNNNNNNNNNNNNNNNNNNNNNNNNNNNNNNNNNNNNNNNNNNNNNNNNNNNNNNGUGGCCUCAUCUUUUGUGUCUUGACGUAGGGUCCAAGUCUCCUGGGUCUUGUUUGUUGAGAAAAUCACGUUCCCGAAGGUUUCAUUCCGUUUGGACUCCAUUUGAUAUUCCUUUUCUUCGAAACCCUAAAACAGGCAAAAACCAGCAAUUCUGGACUGGGCCUCCGGUUAAUACGUUAGUCCCGAAAAUAAUAUAAAAGUGUAUAAUAAAGCCCAAUAAUGUCCAAAACAGUAGAUAAUAUAGCAUGGAGCAAUCAAAAAUUAUAGAUAUGUUGGAGACGUAUCAUGGGUUAUCAAGAUCAACAACAGGUUCAAUUUCUAUAUCAUUAUCAUUGCUAGGUUGGGCAUCAAUAUGAGCAUUAUCAUUAGCAUUAUCACUAGUUUCAGGUUCAUUACCAGAUUGUGUUUCAGCAUCAGAAAUAGAAAUAUCAUUUGGAUUCUCAGGUAUUUCAGUAAUAGGUUCACUAGAAGCAUGCAAAGUCCUAUCAUUUUUCUUUUUCUUCCUUUUAGAAGGACUAGGUGCAUCUAUAUUAUUUCUUUGAGAAUCUUGCUCAAUUCUCUUAGGGUGUCCUUCAGGGUACAGAGGUUCCUGGGUCAUUUUACCACCUCUAGUCAUAACUCUAACAACAUUAUCAUUAUCCUUACUAUUCAAUUCAUUGAACAAAUCAUUUUGAGCUUUAAGUACUUGUUCUACUUGAGUGGUAACCAUAGAAGCAUGUUUACUAAUAAGUUUAAGUUCACCUUUAACAUUAGCUAUAUAAUCACCCAAGUGUCCAAGCAUAUUUGAAUUGUAUUUCAAUUGUCUACCAAAAUAAGCAUUGAAGUCUUCUUGCUUAGCCAUAAAUUUAUCAAACUCAUCUAAGCAUGGGCUAGCAAACUUAGUAAAUGGGAUUUCAGCUUUAUCAUAUCUAUAGAGAGAAUUUACCUUUACUACCUGUGUCGGGUUAUCAAGACCAUGUACUUCUUCAAUAGGAGAUGCGUUUUGAUCAUAUGUUUCUUCAACAGGCGGUAAAUUAAGACCGUGUAUUUAUUCAAUAGGAGGUAAAUUCUUAACAUCUUCAACUUUAAUACCUUUUUCUUUCAUAGAUUUCUUUGCCUCUUGCAUAUCUUCAGGAUUGAGAAAUAGAAUACCCCUCUUCUUUGGAGUUGGUUUAGGAAUAGGCUCAGGAGCUGGUUCAGGAAGUGUCCAAUUAUUUUCAUUUGCCAACAUAUUAUUCAAUAGAAUUUUAGCCUCAUCCGGUGUUCUUUCCCUGAAAACAGAACCAGCGCAACUAUCCAGGUAAUCUCUGGAGGCAUCGGUUAGUCCAUUGUAAAAGAUAUCAAGUAUUUCAUUUUUCUUAAGAGGAUGAUCAGGCAAAGCAUUAAGUAAUUGGAGAAGCCUCCCCCAAGCUUGUGGGAGACUCUCUUCUUCAAUUUGCACAAAAUUAUAUAUGUCCCUUAAAGCAGCUUGUUUCUUAUGAGCAGGGAAAUAUUUAGCAAAGAAGUAAUAAAUCAUAUCCUGGGGACUACGCACACAACCAGGAUCAAGAGAAUUAAACCAUAUAUUAGCAUCACCCUUUAAUGAGAACAGAAAUAUUUUAAGGAUAUAAAAGUAGCGAGUUCUCUCAUCAUUAGUAAACAGGGUGGCUAUAUCAUUUAAUUUAGUAAGAUGUGCCACAACAGUUUCAGAUUCAUAGCCAUGAAAAGGAUCAGAUUCAACCAAAGUAACUAUAUCAGGAUCAACAGAGAAUUCAUAAUCCUUAUCAGUAACACAGAUAGGUGAAGUAGCAAAAGCAGGGUCAGUUUUCAUCCUAGCAUUUAGAGAUUGCUUAUUCCAUUUAGCUAAUAACCUCUUGAGUUCAUAUCUAUCUUUGCAAGCUAAAAUAGCUAAAAAAGCUUCUUUAUCAAAAACAUAACCCUUAGGAAUAAUAGGUGAGUCUUCAUCAUCACUUUCAUCAGUAUUAUCAGAUUCAAUAUUUUCAUUCUCUCUAGCCCUAGCAAGUUGUUCAUCAAGAAAUUCAACAAGUGGCACAGUAGUAUCAAGCAUAGAAGUAGUUUCAUCAUAAGUAUCAUGUAUAGCAGAAGUGGCAUCAUCAAUAACAUGCGACAUAUCAGAACGAAUAACAGAAGCAGGUUUAGGUGUCGCAAGCUUACUCAAAACAGAAGGUGAAUCAAGUGCAGAGCUAGAUGGCAGUUCCUUACCUCCCCUCGUAGUUGAGGGAUAAAUCUUGGUUUUUGGAUCUCUCGAGUUCUUCAUAAUGAUAAGCAGAUAUAAAUCCCAAGUGACUCAAAGAAUAGAGCUAUGCUCCCGGGCAACGGCGCCAGAAAAUAGUCUUGAUAACCCACAAGUAUAGGGGAUCGCAAUAGUUUUCGAGGGUAGAGUAUUCAACCCAAAUUUAUUGAUUCGACACAAGGGGAGCCAAAGAAUAUUCUAAAGUAUUAGCAGCUGAGUUGUCAAUUCAAGCACACAUGGAAACUUAAUAUCUGCAGCAAAGUAUUUAGUAGCAAAGUAAUAUGAUAGUAGUGGUAAUGGUAGCAAAAGUAAAUGGUAGCAAAAGUAGUGUUUUUGGUAUUUUGUAUUGAUAAUAGCAAUAGCAACGGAAAAGUAAAUAAGCGAAGAACAAUAUAUGGAAAACUCGUAGGCAAUGGAUCGGUGAUGAAGAAUUAUGCCGGAUGCGGUUCAUCAUGUAACAGUCAUAACCUAGGGUGACAUAGAACUAGCUCCAAUUCAUCAAUGUAAUGUAGGCAUGUAUUCCGAAUAUAGUCAUAUGUGCUUAUGGAAAAGAACUUGCAUGACAUCUUUUGUCCUACCCUCCCGUGGCAGCGGGGUCCUAAUGGAAACUAAGGGAUAUUAAGGCCUCCUUUUAAUAGAGUAUCGGAACAAAGCAUUAGCACAUAGUGAAUACAUGAACUCCUCAAACUAUGGUCAUCACCGGUAAGUAUCCCGAUUAUUGUCACUUCGGAGUUAACGGAUCAUAACACAUAAUAGGUGACUAUAGACUUGCAAGAUACGAUCAAGAACUCUCAUAUAUUGAUGAAAACAUAAUAGGUUCAGAUCUGAAAUCAGGGCACUCGGGCCCUAGUGACAAGCAUUAAGCAUAGCAAAGUCAUAGCAACAUCAAUCUCAGAACAUAGUGGAUACUAGGGAUCAAACCCUAACAAAAUUAACUCGAUUACAUGAUAAAUCUCAUCCAACGCAUCACCGUCUAGCAAGCCUACGAUGGAAUUACUCACGCAUGGCGGUGAGCAUCAUGAAAUUGGUGAUGGAGAAUGGUUGAUGAGGACGAUGGCGACGGAUUCCCCUCUCCGGAGCCCCGAACGGACUCCAGAUCAGCCCUCCCGGGAGGUUUUAGGGCUUGGUGGCGGCUCCGUAUCGUAAAACACGAUGAACCCUUCUGUUUGAUUUUUUUUUCUCCCCGAAACCAAAUAUAUAGAGUUGGAGUUGAGGUCGGAGGAGCUCCAGGAGGCCCACGAGGUAGGGGGCGCGCCCCCACCCUCGUGGACAGGUGGUGGGCCCCCUGACCUUCAUCUUUUGCAAGGAUUUUUUAUUAUUUCCGAAAAGUUGUUCCGUGAAGUUUCAAGUCAUUCCGAAAACUUUUGUUUCUGCACAUAAAUAACACCAUGAUAAUUUUGCUGAAAACAACGUCAGUCCGGGUUAGUUCCAUUUAAAUCAUGCAAGUUAGAGUCCAAAACAAGGGCAAAAAUGUUCGGAAAAGUAGAUACGACGGAGACGUAUCAAACCUUGACGCCGAGCAGUGCCGGAGAGCCGGAGGAGUGGGAAGAGAAGUGGGAGGAGGACGACGAGGAGGAGCCGAACCUCCUGGGCAUCCAUUGCCCGGCGCGUCGGCGGUGAGACGGGGCGGCCGCCCUCGCCGGGGGAGGGUAGGCCAGCGGCGGGUUGUUGCCGCCCUCGAGUUGCGUCAGCAAGCCCUCGAGCGUGCGGCCGGGGACGCCCCACCACAGGUGGCGCCCCUCGCUGUUCUUCGUGCCGCCGACCACCAGCGCCCCGUUGGUGGACGCCAGCCUCUGUUGCUGGCGGCGCUCGAAGUACGCCGUCCAUGCCGCGUGGUUGUCGGCGGCGUACUGGGGGAGGGUGCGUUGCUCGUCGGUGAGGGAGGCGCGCACGAUCUCCACCUCGUCGGCGAAGUAGCCCGGGAGCGCCACGGUGUCGGGCAAUGGGGGAAUGGGCACUCCCCCGUUGCUGAGCCUCCACCCUGUCGGCCCGGCGCGCAUGUCCGGCGGCGCUGGGAUGUUGGCCUAGAACACGAGCCACGACUCCUGUUCGCGGAGCGAGCGGCGGCCGUAGCCGUUGGUCGCUGCCUCGUUGCCGGGGUAACGCUCAGCCAUCGGGAGGGGAGAGGGAGGGCUCGGCGGCGUACGUGCGGGAGAGGGAGAGGGAGGCUCGGCGGCGGCGCACAGGAGAGAAAGAGCUCGUCGACUGGGGCUGGUGUGGCCAGAGGUGAGGGAGGCCACCGGCUUAUAUAGCCGUGCCGCACCCGUGUGUACGCGUGCGAGGGAAGGGAGGCGUCGGCGCGCCGCCCGUGAGGAAUCAAUGGCAAGGCUGACCGGCGGCAGCCUUGCCAUUGAUUCCCCACGGGAAACCGAGGCGUCGGGAGAAGACGAGGGCGGUGUCGCUAACGCGGCUGGCCUGCGGCUCUUUCGCGCCAAAACCGCUCGCUCCGGAGUCCCCGGGCGCCCCCAGCACGCCAGGUUCAGCCUGGGUCCACCGGCACUAAUUUCGGUUCAGGCCGGCGAAAAUCGGGCUCCUGGGGCGCGACUGGGCCGUUUUUUCGGCGCCGGCGCGAAAAAAUCAUCUGAAAAGGUCUUCCUGGGAACGCGGCUGGAGAUGCUCUAAACCAUAGUUACCGCGCACGUUAAUCGCCUACUGGCGACUGCAAGUGUUGGGUCCCACUUCAAGUUCCCUAACACAUGCAAUCUGAUGCAUGUUACAAGCAGCAGCAACUUUUUUAAUAUAUAAUAUGCACGCUCGUGUAUAUUUAAGAAAAAAAACAAGCAACAGCAACAGCAGUCAGCAGCCGUACGGACGAGUCGUGAGUCGUCGCUUCAGGCCCGGCCGACUGGGGGGGGGGGGUUGGUGGCGGCGGCGCAUACCGACCACCACCACCUCCGGUAGGUACUGCGAUGCUCGAUUGCUUGGCAGAUUUUCUCCGGAGAAAAACGGAUAUGCUCGGCAGUUGGUACCGAUGGCACCAGAUUCUUUUCGCAUCUUGGCCAAUGGCGAUCGAUGUCGCAGGUAGAACGUCGUGUGCCCGUGUGGGUCAAACGCUACCGUUUUAUUUUAUUUCAAGAAACAUGUUAGAAAAAUAAAUGAGUCGACCAUGUCUUGCGGUCUAAAAUAUAAAGUGUACUGUAUUAAAAAAACAUUUAAGUAAACCUUCUAUAAAGAACUGAAGCAAGCUGCCAUCAUCGCCCCUCCUCACUGGAGUCGGGCAAACUUUAUAGUAGUACUGGAUAACCGAGAAAUUGCCGUGCUAAGACUCCAAAAGACCAGAGCACCAUACUACCAACCGCCGUCAACGAAGAGAAACGUAAAUCAAAAGGAUCCAACCUAUAGACACAUGGACGUAGACAAACCACCCGCUUAAAAGGUCAUGGAUUGCUACCACUUUCCGGCUGCUUAGUGGAACAAAAGAACUCAGAAAAAUAGCUUGCUUGUGUGGUUGAGCCAAUGGUUGCUCGGUGACUUGUACUUUAGAAAAAGUAGAGUAUUUUCGGAAAAAAGUAGAGUACAUAGUUGGUGUGACAAGACUACGAAAUAUGAACCAAUAAUGUUCACGGUUUUCUUUUAAUGUUCAUAAUUUUAAAAAACACUACAAAUUUUAUUUUUUAAAAUAUUUUCUAUAAUUCUAAGCUCCCUAAGAAUGUUGGCCCUUGGUGCGUCGGAUCUUUGGGGGUCGCUGGUGGGCCCAAUUAUAAGCAGGUAUUUUGCACAUUGUUGUUUGGACUCAUUCAUGAGCUCUGGCGGCGGUUGUAUGGUGCAACUUGUGUUACUUCUCGGCAUGUGUGUGUGUGUGUGUGUGUGUUAUUUGAUUGUGGUCGAUUGGUAUUAUGGGCUAUAAACAAUCUCAUAUAAGCACCAUUUACCACCGCCGAAACUAAAAUGUGUAAUAAUACUAAAGCCAAACACCAAACAAUUACACCUUCCUUUCAAAACAAAUACCACAUGAAACAACAAGCCAAGCCGGUGCCAAUAAAAGAAAACACCAUCAUGCACUGCAUAAUUAAAGGCUAGCCCAACACAAGAAAAACCAAAUCCUAUCCUAUAUCCUAUAUACCUAAGAGUCAUCAUCACUAACUUAUUUAUCUCAACAUUCAAUCAUGCCACAUCGUCAUACAAUUAUGGAGGGGAUAAGACCCACCCCAACAUGCAGUCAUGCAUGGAAAAGGCCCACCACCACAUGCAACAAAGCAUGAAAAAUCAUUAUAUUAUUCUACUCAUAUUCAAUAAAUAUUUUACAACUAUACAUAACCAGAUAUAAUAAGUCAUAUGCAUUUUUUAUUUUAGUUCAUGUGUUAUUAGUUUAAGUAUUUAUAUUCCACACUCAUUGAAAUAUACUGCAACCGAUUCCGCAACAAUGCACAGGGUAUCAUCAAGUUAAAAUAACAAACCAUAAUAACCAACAGUCCGAGAACUCUAGUAUCGCGUAUAACACACAUUAUAGCCAGUAACACACACUAAGACACCACACAUGUAGCACUAUGUGCGUAUUGUGUUGGCAAUUUUUUUCUUGAUUGGUUUUCAGUUGAUUUUUUAAUUAUGGUUAGUGUCUAUUAAAAUACUUUCCAAAUUUUUAAAAACUAUUUAGGAUAUGUGAGCAAACGUGCAGGGCUAUGACCCAUGUAGUGCUAUGUGUGUAUUCGUUAGCGAUUUUCACUGAUUUUUAGUCAGUUAUUUAAUUUCAUUUGUUUUUCGUAUGUUCAAUUUUUUGAAAAAAUAUUCUGGAUUUUUUGAAUUUCCAUAAGUGUUUACAAAUUUUAAAAAAAUAUUGACGAAUUUCAACAAUGUUGGUAAAGUUAAUAAUUGUUCACAAAUAUGAAUAACAUAUUCAUGAAUUCUAAAAAAUGUUCAUUAGUUCUGACAUUGUCAUGAUUUUUGAAAAAAAUCACAAGUUUUAAAUAAUAUUUGCGGAUUUUAAAAAAUUCCAUAAAAUUUAAAAGAAUCGUGAUAAAAAAUCAUGAUUUUUUUAAAAUGUUCACAAUGUUGUGGAAACGCUAAUGGUUUUGAAAAAUGUUCAUGACAUUAAAUUAUGUUCCUUGAUUUUUGAAAUAUCUAAAAAUAUGAAAAAUUUCAUGACUUCAAAAAUACAAAAAACUUAUAUAAAAACAAACAACUAUAAUGUAUAUGUGACCAUACAUAUUUAAGCAAUAUAUGAUAACAAACCACUGUAAAUUGAUCCACUGUAAAGUACUAGUCAAUGUGUACGUGUAAUGCACGUUAAUUUGGAAGUAUAUUAAGUGCGUGCAGAUGUUAAGUAGGAUAUUAUCUGCGUGUUAUUAUGUGAUUAACACUAUAUUUGGAAUGAAAUUAACUGCACGCUAAACGUGUUGAGCGCUAGACAUUGAAGCAGUCUAGGUCGUUAGAUUGAUAUGAUUUGAUGGCCGAGAUUAAUUGAAUCGGCCCCUUUGAGUCUUUUUAUAUUGGCAUAGAUAUAUUGGCCUGCAUAUUUAAGACAUGUGACUGGCACUAGUAAAAUAGAAACGUUGAUGCUCUUGAAUGUUUUGUAUGAAAAUAAUUAGAGUAUUUCCAAAAGUUGAGAUAACUUCAAUAAUUAUUUUAACCAUCCAAUCACAGUCUGGUUCUCAACAAAAACCAUAUUUAUACCAGAUGUUGGCUAAUUCAUAAACCUACUUUGUACCAACACAUACAAGGCUAUCGAUGGGUCUAAGUUAGUGACUCUUGCACGUUCUCAUGUCGUCACACGUAAAGGUCAUUGAUUCCUACCCCUUUCUAUGCCUGCCCAGUGGAAUAGAAAAACUCCAAGAAAUUGACAAGCCAACAGUUGCUCGGUAGACUUGUACUUUAAGAAAGUAGAGUAUAUUCGCAAAAAAGGAAGAGUACAUAAUUGGUAACAGACUAUGAAUUGGUAGGGCUGAACAUCUUCUGCCAGAUCACGCAUCAAGGAUGAUUAAUAGUUUUGUAAGGUAGUCACCUUAAGGUGUAUUUGUUGAGUUGUGACUUGAAUUGUCAAGAUUACAAGAAGGAUGGGCGUAUAGAACCAUAGGCGGAGGGCGGGAAUGUAAGGGAGAGAGGGUUACAUGCUGGUGAAAUACACACACCAAGUGUUGGUGUCACAUAGAACGUCAAUACACAAUCGAAUGCAACACAAAACAAUUUGCCCUAUCCACAUUCUCCCUACAUAAGGUGAUAGAGACCCUCAAGGCCUCAACGAUGAAAGAGCACAAUAUUUUUCUCAAAACAAUUGGUCUCAUGAAGUAACUGCAAAGCUAGGCCAACCGCCAACCGAAGAAGUAGACACACAGUAGGUAUCAACCGUUGCCUUAGAAGGGAGUAAUCCGGCCACCGAAGAUGCAUCCAUAGUUUCCAGCUAGUCGAGGUUCACCUUGUUUAUGUUGUUUGUUUCUUUUUAUUAAGGUUGUCUUCUUCAUAGAUGUCUCUUCACAGUGACACUUUGGCUUAGUUUGUGCUUUGUUGAAAUAUGAUGUGUCCAACAUAAUUCAUGAUUUGUUAUGGUUGUGUGCAUCGCUUGAUGCAAAGGCCGAGGGUUAUCCUCCUUUUCGGGAAAAAAUCACAAUUUUUUGCGGAAAAAUGAAGACAAGAGUAUGGAAAAUCUAUUUUUUUGCGAGACGAAAAAUGUAGUUAAUGGAACACUAAAACAGAUGAAAGCAGAGAGAAUCACUCUUCUCAUUUUUCCGAGAGGAAAAAUCUAGUUAACGAAACACUAAAACAGUUGAAAACAAUGCAGGACGCGAAACACCGUGUGGAAACCGAUCCCCUAAUGCAGGCAGCCUUGAUGUGGGCAACCAAACGAGGUGCAUAUGUUUGUUUUUUCGCCCGUUUUCCUUCAACCAGGCCCAACUGGGACAUGUAUGUGAUAAUCCCCAAGUGCAAGGAAUCAUCGUAGCAAUUUCCAAAGGUGGAAGUGAUAAGUAUGGAGUGUCGAAUCCACAAGGAGCUAAAGGUAAGAUCAAUAUUCUCUCAAGCCCUAUCUGCCACUGAUACGACUCUAUGUACACUGAACGUUUGCUUCCAACUAGCAACGAGAAACAAAACUAGGUUGUGGGUAUGAAGAGGAUAACUUUGUAUGAUAUCGGAGAGCUAAAAUAUAAAAGUAGGUGCUCUUAUCAUGAAGUUAGAAUAUCUUACUAAAUAUUAUAAAUAGUGAGUGUGGAAUAAUGGUGGAUCGGUGUGUGGAAUUGUCCUAGGCAAUCGUUAACAAGACCGGUAAUCACUAUUGCAGUUUCAUAUGAGGGAGAGGCAUACGCUUACAUACUUUAUCUACUUGGAUCAUAUGCACUUAUGAUUGGAACUCUAGCAAGCAUCCGCAACUACUAAAGAUCAUUAAGGUAAAACCCAACCAUAGCAUUAAAGCAUCAAGUCCUUUUUAUUCCCAUACGCAACAACCCCCUUACUCGGGUUUGUGUUUCAGUCACUCACCAACCCACUAUAAGUGAAUCAUGAACGUAUUGCAACAUCCUACAGCGGAACCCCUCACGCUUGUGCGACACGGAGGGCACCAUAGGACAACAUCAAAGUAAACCAUACAACUCAUACCAGUCUAGAUCAUCAAUCAACCCAAAGACAAAAGAUAUCUACUCAAAACAUCAUAGGAUGGCAACACAUCAUUGGAUCAUAAUAUGUGGCAUAAAGCACCAUGUUCAAGUAGGGAUUACAGCAGGGUGCGAGAGAGUGGACCGCGUAAAAGAGAUAAGGGUGAUGAUGAUGAUGGUGAUGUUGAUGAAGACGAUCACCGCGGCAAUGAUUCCCCUUCCGAUGGCACUCCGGUGCCACUGAGAGAGAGGAGGAGAGGUUCUCCCCUUGUGCUUCCUCCUCCACGGCCUCCCCCUAGAUGGGGAGAGGUUAUCCCUCUGGUCCUUGGCCUUCAUGGUGAUGAUGGUCCUUCUGGGAUCCUCCUCCAUGCCCUCCGGUGAUGACGGCUCCCUCCGGCAGGGUGCCAGAGAGGGCCUAGAUUGGUCUUCGGUGGCUACGGAGGCUUCUGGCGGCGGAACUCCUGAUCUAGGUUAAUUUUCCGAGGUUUCUGUAUUUAUAGGAAUUUUUGGCGUUGGUCUCAUGUCAAGGAGGUGCCCGAGGCGUCCACGAGGCAGGACCAGAUGCCUGGGGGGUGGGCGCGCCCCCCACCCUCAUGGACGCCCUGGGACUCUCCUGGCCCAACUCUUUUACUCCGGGGUCUUCUUUUGGUCCAUAAAAAAUCAUCAAAAAUUGGCACGUCAAUUGGACUCCGUUUGAUAUUCCUUUUCUGUAGAACUCAAAAAACAAGGAAAAAACAGAAACUGGCACUGGGCAGUAGGUUAAUAGGUUAGUCCCAAAAAUCAUAUAAAAUAGCAUAUAAAUGCAUAUAAAACAUCCAAGGUUUAUAAUACAAUAGCAUGAAUACUUCAUAAAUUAUAGAUCCAUUGGAGACGUAUCAGCAUCCCCAAGCUUAAUUCCUGCUCUCCUCGAGUAGGUAAAUGAUAAAAGAAAUAAUUUAUGAAGUGUGAAUUCUAGCAAGUGCAUAAAUUUCAUCAAUGAUAGUUUCAAUUACUUUUUAUAACAUCAUUAUAUAUCAUAACAAUAGCUCAUCUUCAUAAAACUUUUCAUGAUCAAGUAAUAAGCUAUUCACAUGUUAAAGUAUAGAUCAUAAACUUUCUUGAAACUAACAAACUAUAUUCUCAGUCAUCAAACAAUUGCAAUUCAUCUUAUUUUCAGAAGGGUCUAUGUCAGAGCUUUAGUUUAGCAAACUCCACAUACUCAACUAUCAUUUAAUCUUUCACAAUUUCUAACACUCACGUGAUAUUUAUGGAUUUAGAGUUUUAAUCAGACACAGAGAAAGAUAAGGGCUUAUAGAUUCGCCUCCCAGCCUUUUACCUCAAGGGUAAUGUCAACAAUAAUAGUUCAUGAUAACUUACAUCCAAUUGGAUAUAUAUAUAUAUAUAUAUAUAUAUAUAUAUAUAUAUAUAUAUAUCAGGAUCUUUUCAACACAAUGUGCUUGCCAAAGGAUAAAAUGUAAAAAGGAAAGGUGAAGAUCACCAUGACUCUUGCAUAAGGUACAAGAUAAAAGUAAAAGAUAUGCCCUUCGCAGAGGGAAGCAGAGGCUGUCAUGCAUUUUUAUGGUUGGAUGCACAAAAUUUUAAUGCAAAAGAACAUCACUUUAUAUUGCCACUUGUGAUAUGGACCUUUAUUAUGCAGUCCGUCGCUUUUAUUUCUUCCACAUCACAAGAUCGUAUAAAACUUAUUUUCUCCACAUUAAUAGAUCAUACAUAUUUAGAGGGCAAUUUUUAUUGCAUGCACCGAUGACAACUUACUUGAAGGAUCUUACUCAAUCCAUAGGUAGGUAUGGUGGACUCUCAUGGCAAAACUGGUUAAGGAAUGUUUGGAAGCACAAGUAGUAUCUCUACUUGGUGCAAAGAAUUUGGCUAGCAUGAGGGGGAAAAGCAAGCUCAACAUGUUGGAUGAUCCAAGAUAAUAUAUUUUUUAUUUCGGAUAUAAGAAACCAUAACCCAUUACGUUGUCUUUCUUGUCUGACAUCAACCUUUUAGCAUGUCAUAUUUUAAUGAGUGCUCACAAUUACAAAAGAUGUCCAAGAUAAUAUAUUUAUAUGUGAAAUCUCUCUUCCUUCAAUAUUCUUUCACGAAUUGUUCAAGUGACCAAUUCUACGUUUGCUAACUUUCAAUAAGUUUACUAACUAUACUUAUUCUAUGUGAAGUCAUUACUCCCCAUGGUAUAAGCAUAUGAAACAUAUAUAAAUUGAGAUUUAUGAUAUUCAAUUCAUUCAACCAUUUACUCAUAGGAUAUAUGUGAACCACGUGAGUAAUGACAAACUACUCCAAAAAGAUAUGAGUGAAGGACAUUGAGUAGUCAAAUAAUUAACUAGCCAUGGGAGGAUUCUUUUUCAUUUAAGAUUUCAGAUCCAAUUAUUUUAUUCAAAUAGCAAGUAAAAUUGAAAAUACGCUCCAAGCAAAACACAUAUCAUGUGACGAAUAAAAUAUAGCUCCGAGUAAGGUAUACCGAUAGUUUUGAAGACGAAAGAGGGGAUGCCUUCCGGGGCAUCCCCAAGCUUAGGCGCUUGAGUCUUCCUUGAAUAUUACCUUGGGGUGCCUUGGGCAUCCCCAAGCUUAGGGUCUUUCCACUCCUUAUUCUCCUCAUAUCGAUAUCUCACCCAAAGCUUGAAAACUUCAAUCACACAAAACUUAACGGAACUUUGUGAGAUAGGUUAGUAUGAUAAAGAGUAAACCAUUCACCUUGGUACUGUCAAAGAUAAAGAUCGUAAUUGUUCUCUCACAAUGCCUACUGUACAUAUCAUUCCUAUAAUUUAUAUUGAGGAAUAUAAGUCAUAGAAACUAGAAAACAAGCAAACUAUGCAAUAAAAACAGAAUCUGUCAGAAACAGAACAGUCUGUAAUGAUCUGAACACUAACCAUACUUAUGCUACUCAAAAAAUUAUGAAAUAAAUUGGUGGACGUUAGGAAUUUGUCUAUUAAUCUUCUGCAAAAAUAAUCAGCACCAAAUCACACUUCUGUAAAAAAAUGGCAGCUAAUCUCGUGAGCGUAAAGUUUCUGUUUUUUACAGCAAGAUCACAUUAACUUUCACCCAAGUCUUCCCAAAGGUCUUACUUGGCACUUUAUUGAAACAAAAGCUAUAAAACAUGAUUACUACAGUAGCUUAAUCAUGUAAACACACGAAAACAGUAAGGGUAAAUAUUGGGUUGUCUCCCAACAAGCGCUUUUCUUUAAUGCCUUGUAGCUAGGCAUGAUGAUUUCAAUGAUGCUCACAUGAAAGAUAAGACUUGAACAUAAAGAGAGCAUCAUGAAGAAUAUGACUAGAACAUUUAAACCUAAACCACUUCCUAUGCCUAGGGAUUUUGUGAGCACACAAUUUAUGGGAACACGAAUCAGCUAGCAUAGGAAGGAAAAACAAGUAUACUUCAAAACUUUAAGCACAUAGAGAGAAAAACUUGAUAUUAUUGCAUUCCUACAAGCAUGCAUUCCUCCCUCAUAAUAAUUUUCAGUAGCAUCAUGAAUUAUUUCAACAAUAUAACCAUCGCAUAAAGCAUUAUUUUCAUGAUCUACAAGCAUAGAAAUUUUUCUACUCUCCACAUAAGCAAAAUUCUUCUCAUUCGGAAUAGCGGGAUCACUAGUUCCUAGAGUUGACACUCUUCCAAACCCGCCUUAGAUGAUAGUAUUAUUCAUACUCAAAAAGAUAUAAGUUAAGUUCAUGGAGCUUUGUACAAUUAAUAUAAACUAACCAAUGUCCAAGCUCAAAAUGUAUAAGUGAAGUACACGAAGCAUUCUAUAAAACCAUACUCAAAAGAUUUAAGUGAAACACAAAGAGCAAUUCUAUAAGAUCAUACUUAAAAGAUAUACGUGAAGCACAUGAAGCAUUCUAUAAAUAAAUGAAGGGCUAUCUCAUACUAGCAUGGUUCAUUAAGGAAGAACAAAAAACACAAAGGACACAAAUCAUGUGAACGAAACAAAAACCGAGGUAUACCGAUAAUUGUUGAAGAAGAAAGAUGGGAUGCCAACCGGGGCAUCCCCAAACUUAGAUGCUUGAGUAUCCUUAGAAUAUUUACUUGGGGUGCCUUGGGCAUCCCCAAGCUUGAGAGCUUGCCUCUCUUUAUUCUUCUCACAUCGGUAACUCCUCGUUCUUCGAACACUUCAUCCACAAAAAACUUUAACAAAAACUUUGUGAGAUCCGUUAGUAUAAUAAAGCAAAUCACUACUUUUAGGUACUGUUGGAAACUCAUCCAAUUUAAUAUUAGAACUAUAUCUACUGUAUUCCAACUUCACCAUGGUUCAUACCCCCCGAUACUACCCAUAGAUUCAUCAAAAUAAGCAAACAACACACGAAAAACAGAAUCUGUCUAAAACGGGACAGUCUGUAGAAAUCUGAAGGUUUAGUAAACUUAUGUAACUACAAAAAUUAUUAAAUAAAUUUGAAAAUUUGAACAAUUUAUACAUAAGUAAUGUGAAAAAAGUUUCAGACCCAUUUGACUUUCCAGUAAAAAAUGUAAAAUCACGCGCUACAGCCAAAGUUUCUGUUUUUGUUCUGCACAUAGUAAACAACCAAUCUAAUCAUCCUAAAACCAAAGUUUGGCACAUUAUUUUUAUAAGUACAAUGGAUAUAUAUAAGGGGAUAAUUAUUUACAGAGAAACUUCCAUGAAAAAUUCUACAUUGUUUCCAUGAGCAUGAACACAAGUGCUCAAGGUCGACCCUCACUUCUUCAAUGCAUAACUUUCCAAUCAAAACUUCUUAGGUAUGAGAGGCAAGUAAUUUUUUUUUGUAUUUUCAUUCUUUUAAUUUUUUUGUAUGUUUCACCCACAGCUAAACAGAAACAAAAAAAGGAAAAACAAAAUCUACAUAGUGAAGAAAGCAAACAAGCACAUACGAGAAUAUCAACCCCACGCUGUUGCUCCCCGGCAACGGCGCCAGAAAAGAGCUUGAUAAUCCCCAAGUGCAAGGAAUCAUCGUAGAAAUUUCCAAAGGUGGACGUGAUAAGUAUGGAUUGUCGAACCCACAAGGAGCUAAAGGUAAGAUCAAUAUUCUCUCAAGCCAUAUCUGCCACUGAUACGACUCUACGUACACCGAACGUUUGCUUCCAACUAGCAACGAGAAACAAAACUAUGUUGUGGGUAUGAAGAGGAUAUCUUUGUAUGAUAUCGGAGAGCUAAAAUAUAAAAGUAGGUUCUGUUAUCAUGAAGUUAGAAUAUAUUACUAAAUAUUAUAAAUAACGAGUGUGGAAUAAUGGUGGAUCGGUGUGCGGAAUUGUUCUAGGCAAUCGUUAACAAGACCGGUGAUCACUAUUGCAGUUUCAUAUGAGGGAGAGGCAUAAGCUAACAUACUUUAUCUACUUGGGUCAUAUGCACUUAUGAUUGGAACUCUAGCAGGCAUCCGCAACUACUAAAGAUCAUUAAGGUAAAACUCAACCAUAGCAUUAAAGCAUCAAGUCCUCUUUAUUCCCAUACGCAACAACCCCCUUACUCGGAUUUGUGUUUCAGUCACUCACCAACCCACUAUAAGCGAAUCAUGAACGUAUUGCAACACCCUACAGCGGAACCUCUCACGCUUGCCGACACGGAGGGCACCAUAGGACAACAUCAAAGUAAAACAUAGAACUCAUACCAGUCUAGAUCAUCAAUCAACCCAAAGACAAAAGAUAUCUACUCAAAACAUCAUAGGAUGGCAACACAUCAUUGGAUCAUAAUAUGUGGCAUAAAGCACCAUGUUCAAGUAGGGAUUACAGCGGGGUGCGGGAGAGUGGACCGCGUAAAAGAGAUGAGGGUGAUGAUGAUGAUGGUGAUGAUGUUGAUGAAGACGAUCACCGCGGCGAUGAUUUCCCUCCUGAUGGCACUCCGGUGCCACCGAGAGAGAGGAGGAGAGGUUCUCCCCUGUGCUUCCUCCUCCAUGGCCUCCCCCUAGAUGGGGAGAGGUUCUCCCUCUGGUCCUUGAUCUUCAUGGUGAUGAUGGUCCCUCCGGGAUCCUCCUCCAUGCCCUCCGGUGAUGACGACCCCCUCCGGCAGGGUGCCAGAGAGGGUCUAGAUUGGUUUUCGGUGGCUACGGAGGCUUCUGGUGACGGAACUCCCGAUCUAGGUUAAUUUUCCGAGGUUUCUGUAUUUAUAGAAAUUUUUGGCGUCGGUCUCACGUCAAGGAGGUGCCCGAAGCGUCCACGAGGCAGGACCACACGCCUGGGGGGGUGGGCGCGCCCCCACCCUCGUGGACGCCCCGGGACUCUCCUGGCCCAAUUCUUUUACUCCGGGGUCUUCUUUUGGUCCAUAAAAAAUCAUCAAAAAUUGGCACGUCAAUUGGACUCCGUUUGAUAUUCCUUUUCUGUAAAACUCUAAACCCUGAACGACACAAAAAUUUAAUACCUCCUUGAAUAGAAAAGGAAAAAAAAUCUUUUCAGCGAAGAAAUGCAUCCUGCUUUACUUGUAGAUAUGGAUAUAAGAUAAUACGCACGCUCAUGCGUAUUCAAGAAAAUGUUCUUUUAACAAAGUAUGUUGAGUGCACGGUAUAUCGGUAUAGCCCAUGGCAGUACGACUAAGACGGUCAUAUGUUAAAGAUUUGCGAAUGAAACUGCAACGUGUGUAGGGGUUGGUGGCGUUGCCCCGUCCUCACUUACCACCACCUCGCCCCGACCUCCCCCCUAUUUCUCUCUUCCUUCCUACCUUCGUCCCUCCCCCCGUCUCCAGCCCACCAACCCGCCCGCCCGCCCGCCCGCCCAAUCCCACCAGACGCCCUCCUCCAGUCCCACCAACCGCGGCGGCACAGGCAAUGGCGAUGGCUNNNNNNNNNNNNNNNNNNNNNNNNNNNNNNNNNNNNNNNNNNNNNNNNNNNNNNNNNNNNNNNNNNNNNNNNNNNNNNNNNNNNNNNNNNNNNNNNNNNNNNNNNNNNNNNNNNNNNNNNNNNNNNNNNNNNNNNNNNNNNNNNNNNNNNNNNNNNNNNNNNNNNNNNNNNNNNNNNNNNNNNNNNNNNNNNNNNNNNNNNNNNNNNNNNNNNNNNNNNNNNNNNNNNNNNNNNNNNNNNNNNNNNNNNNNNNNNNNNNNNNNNNNNNNNNNNNNNNNNNNNNNNNNNNNNNNNNNNNNNNNNNNNNNNNNNNNNNNNNNNNNNNNNNNNNNNNNNNNNNNNNNNNNNNNNNNNNNNNNNNNNNNNNNNNNNNNNNCGGAUGCCGGCGGCCCGCGCGGCCCACCGCGGGGCGGUGCGGCUGUGGGGGCCCCGCGGCGCGGCGGCGCGCGCGACGUCCGUGGCGGCCCCCGCGGCGCCCGCGGGCGCCGAGGAGGUCGUGCUGCAGCCCAUCCGCGAGAUCUCCGGCGCCGUGCAGCUGCCCGGCUCCAAGUCGCUCUCCAACCGGAUCCUCCUCCUCUCCGCCCUCUCCGAGGUGACUCCCCCCUCCUCCCGCUCUUCCUUUGGGUGAUGCGAAUUGGGUGCAGAGAUGGGAUUCUAGGGGGUUUAGCUGACGCACCCUGUCAUGCUAGCUAGGUGCUCGCGAGAUCAUGGGGAUUUUAACUCCCCGACCAUAGGUUAACGAGGGCAGGUUGUUUGGUAGCCAAUUCAUGCGUUUGCUUACCAGAUCAUUGUAUUGUGUAGCUUGUAUUUGGAUCAAGAUAUCGAUGCAUCAGAAUGACCAGGAGACCCUCCUCUAAUUUAGGCUACCAAAUUGUUCUGAUGGCUCCUUUAUGAAAAGUAGCAUGUUGUAAUGCUGUUAUGAACUCUUAUUCAUGUAUCUGCAUUUAAAAUGGUGCAACCUAAGGUCUAUUCACAUUUUGUGAGACGGUGUGACCACAAAAGCCGAUACUAUUUUACACGAGAAAUCGUUGAAUUGCUAUUCGUGGCAUUAGUUUUCAUGAGCUAUAUAGGUACUAAAUCUAGGAUCCUCCAGGCUUUAUAUGUUUCCACUGAUCAGAAAGCAAUAUUGCAGCAUGUCCUGUUCUCUUACUUAUUUAUAGUAAGAUGAGAAAUUGGAGCUGGUUUACUUCACUGUCAUCUCCAGCUGAUCCGUAGCUUGUUUCUGGUCAUUAGGGAACAACGGUGGUGGAUAACCUGUUGAACAGUGAGGAUGUCCACUACAUGCUUGAGGCCCUGGAAGCCCUUGGACUCUCCGUGGAAGCAGAUAAAGUUGCAAAAAGAGCUGUGGUUGUUGGCUGUGGCGGCAGGUUCCCAGUCGAAAAGGACGCCAAAGAGGAAGUAAAGCUCUUCUUGGGUAAUGCUGGAACUGCAAUGCGGCCACUGACGGCAGCUGUAGUAGCUGCUGGUGGAAAUGCAACGUAUGUUUUCUUUAUCCUAGUGGAAAUAAGUAUGAGAUCCAUGGGUAUGUUUGGAGACUGAUCGUUUCUUUUAUUAAAAAAAAACUUCAGUUAUGUGCUUGAUGGCGUACCAAGAAUGAGGGAGCGACCUAUUGGUGACUUAGUUGUAGGUUUGCAACAACUCGGCGCAGAUGUCGAUUGUUUCCUUGGCACAAACUGCCCACCUGUCCGUAUCAACGGCAAAGGAGGUCUACCUGGUGGCAAGGUUAGCUACUCAUCAACUUGCAUGUUAUCUACUUUGUGCACACUUCUGUUCUCUGUCAGAGAAGUUAUUAUUAUGGCUAGUACGAUGUAAUGCAACCUUAGACCGCGCACUAAAUUUUAAGAACCAAUCAACAUUUAAUAAUUUCAAUAUGUGAGUAUUGCAUGAUCUAUGAUAGCUUGGUGCUAAAGAUUGAAUGAUUUCACAGGUUAAGCUCUCUGGUUCCAUUAGCAGUCAAUACCUGAGUUCCUUGCUGAUGGCUGCUCCUUUGGCUCUUGAGGAUGUCGAGAUUGAAAUCAUUGAUAAACUGAUCUCCGUUCCUUAUGUUGAAAUGACAUUGAAAUUGAUGGAGCGUUUUGGUGUGACUGCGGAGCAUUCUGAUAGUUGGGACAGAUUCUACAUUAAGGGAGGACAAAAAUACAAGCAAGUUCUACAUUUUCCUACUUCUUCUAAUAAACUUUUAAUUGUUUCAUUUCUUCUAAUAGUGGAGUACUAAUGAAAGAUAUCAGUUUUCAGUUUGCCAAAUAUUUACAGACGCAACCCCAUUGAAUUAUGGGUAAACUAGGAAAUAAAUGUUUUACUAAAACUAUUGACUGCUCAGUAGCUAUGAAGGUGCACUGUACUAUGAAACCAGUGCCUACUGCCUAGGCAAUCGGCCCCACUGCUUACAAUGAAUUGUACAGUUACGUUUUCUGGUACAUGGACUUGAUCACACCAGAAGUAUAAUCCAUCUUAAAAAUGGAAUGAAAAUAGAGAAUAUUUUGCGAUGAGCAUCUAUGCAGAUGAUUCUUGAUUUUGCUUCUUUUGGCCCUUUCUAAGUUAUGCCCUUGCUGCUAUAUGUCACAUCUACGCUUUUACUGAACAUACUCCUCUUAUGUACUCGGAAACUGUUAGUCCAAACUUCAUAAAAGUUGCAGUAACCAUUUCCUAAACGAGCCAUCCAUUAUUCUGGAAUCGACAGGUCCCCUGGAAAUGCCUAUGUCGAAGGUGAUGCCUCAAGUGCGAGCUAUUUCUUGGCUGGUGCUGCCAUCACCGGAGGGACUGUGACUGUCGAAGGUUGCGGCACCACUAGUUUGCAGGUAAAAUUGUACUAUCCAUUUUCACCCUUUUGGUUGAGCAUACUGUCUUAUGCUGUCAUUCUCCCUUACUAAGGUUAAUCUUGCAGGGUGAUGUGAAAUUUGCUGAGGUACUUGAAAUGAUGGGAGCAAAGGUCACAUGGACUGACACUAGUGUAACUGUUACUGGCCCACCGCGUCAGCCAUUUGGAAGGAAACACCUAAAAGCUGUUGAUGUCAACAUGAACAAAAUGCCAGAUGUCGCGAUGACUCUAGCCGUUGUUGCCCUGUUUGCCGAUGGUCCAACCGCUAUCAGAGAUGGUAUACUUUCUAUGGCCUCCCAUACCUAUCAUGUGCGUAGCGAUUACUCUGUUAGCAUGAGGGAGAGGACAAAGGACUUGAAAUCACCCUGUUAUGUGUUGCUGUUGAUUUUGUUUUACAUGUUUUGGUCCUGACACUUGUUUUGGAAUCACUCUUCUGCAGUUGCCUCCUGGAGAGUGAAGGAAACUGAAAGAAUGGUCGCGAUCCGGACCGAGCUGACGAAGGUAAUAAUACACAUGUCUCUUGUUCUUAUAUCUCAGCCUCCUGUUGCACCCCAUGUGCUUACCUCUCCUGUGUCCUGUGCCCUAUAGCUGGGAGCAACGGUGGAGGAAGGCCCGGACUACUGCAUCAUCACGCCGCCGGAGAAGCUGAACAUCACGGCGAUCGACACCUACGAUGACCACCGGAUGGCGAUGGCCUUCUCCCUGGCGGCCUGUGCUGAGGUGCCAGUCACCAUCAGGGACCCUGGAUGCACCCGAAAGACCUUCCCCAACUACUUCGACGUGCUAAGCACCUUCGUCAAGAACUAGAUUGGAGAAUCUAUGGCGAAUUGCGCUUGUACUUUUGUAGCCUGUCCAUGGUCUGGAAUUUUUGUCUUUUUCGUCUUGUCGCGAGAUGGUGUAUGAGUCUGUAAUAUUAGUUUUGUAGUGCGCGAGGUAAAAUGAAAUGUAUUGCACACUGUAUUCGUUUUUUGAAUAAGAAAUAAAUUAUGAUCUAGAUGUCAUGCUGCUGCUCGCGGAGGAUCUUGGGCAUGCAAGCUAGUAGUAUAGGAAUUAUGAAAGGAGGAAGCAUCCCCUCGCACACAACUGAAUGCUUGAAAGGUAAUACCGAGCCUAAAUGAAACAAUUCAGGUACGGAUCUCAACGUGAGAUCCGACGGUGGGAGAGCAUGCCACCGGCAUAGAAGAUGGAUGUGCGGUGUCGUUGGGUUGGGGAGCAAGUAGUAUAGAAUCUGAGCCUGUGAUGCAAAAAUAGAAAAAAUGGAUCUGUACCAUAAGAUGGUAGAUUGAUGGUCCAGAUUAGGGUGGGAUGCUCUGCACGCACAGUUUGCAAAAAGUCCAUCUCUGCAAGCUAAUUUUGUCCCCGUCAAACCCAAAUCCCGUACACAGGCCGUCAAUGACUUUGAGAUUUCAACGACCGCCAUCUCCUCUACCAGGUGAGGUGAGAGAAGGAAAUUGGUUAACUGACUCUGCCUCAUCACCAUAAAAUCGUUCCUGGUGCCUUUCAAGCCUACACAAUUCAGAACAGAUGCUUUCCACUAUCCAGAUAUAUGGACGAUCUCUCAGUUGCUAGAGGAAACUGGAACUGAAACUGAGAGGCAUGAGAGAGGUUGAUCUCCGCCCAUCGUUGCUAGAGGAAACUAGAAUUGGAGUCAGAGAGGCAUGGGAGAUACUGCUAUUUAUUAGUUGAGGUAUGAUGACACGAAGGUGCCACAUUGGCCCACCGCAUUGCAUUUCUUUUGUGUGCUUUCAGUACUAUUUUAGCACAUGGGAUACGCUUCUCCAGUGAGAUUUCAUUUGCGAUCUUCACCUUUAUGCGUUGUAAAUCAUAGAUUCAUCGGCUCACAAACUCUCACUGGGUGCACGCCUCCGCGGCUAAAUCAUCGGUCAUCAAACAUGCUACAAAAUCCGGUACGUUGGGAAACCACAUAGCAUGGCUUCCGUGGACGGCACCAACACACAAAGUCACCCCAAUGGUUUACUCCAAUCACGAGGAGAAAUCACCCUAAUAUGGUUUCAUUGAUUUGAAUGGAUUGAUGUGUUGUAUAAGGAUGGAGAUGGGUCGGGUUUGGACCGGGUUGAGCAAUAUUAAAUCCAUAUCCAUAUCCAUGAGGCAGUCGCAGCCCAUUCAUGAAAAAAAAUCCAUGGACGAAAAAUUGUGAUCAUGUCCAAAUCCGAUGGAUAUCCAUACCCAUUGGAUAUCCAUCAGGUCCUCUCAAGACCUAUACAUAAGACAUAACUCAUUGCACAAUGUGCACUCUGCAUUGGCGUGCUCACUCCCUGCCGUGUAGUCAUAGCCCUUGCAUUUGUCCCACUGCUGCGGGCAUGCAUCAAUGCGUGUGUGGAAAAGCGAAGACAGAGGGGUCAAGGAGAUAUGGAGCUAGGUUGUCGCAGGCCAGUUGUGGCUGCUGCAGUGAUCCACCUUACGUGGGGGUAGCGGCUGGCAGCGGCGGCCACCUCUAGGGCUAUGAGAGGAGUAACUCAAGGAGAUGGCACUGAUUCUCAAUGACAAGUCAUUUAAUUAGUGUAGAUACUAGGAUGAGAAGGUGCGUUGGAGUAUGUUACGGUGGGGAUUGUGUAAUUUCUUUUGGAUGUUUUAGGUAAAAGAUAAAAUUAUAGUGGGACAUGUGACUAUGGGGUAGGGGUAGCAGAAUAUUGCUCAUGAAGUCAGACGAUCGGGCCGGGUUUGGAUAUAUCCAUGGGUACAAGAUUAUGUCCAUACCCUAUCCACGAGUAAUCGGGUCGGGUUUGGCGCUGCCCAUGGGCGCAAAAGCGUAUCCAAACCCUAUCCAUUCGGGUUGGAUAUCCAUGGAUAUCCAUGUCCAUGGAUAAAAUUGCCAUCCUUACUAUUGUACCAUUGUAGGGUCCUCAUCAAAUGUAUGAAUUCCCUCGAGGGAGUGGGAAACAAAUCAAAUUAUUUUCUUUUGAUCGGAGCAGAGGGAAAGUGUACCUCUUCACUCAUAAACUUAAUGCAAGUGAGGAUUCAUUUAUGUUAUUCAUAUAAUUCAAAAGAGGAAGAUCAUCUUCUUCAAAGGAAGACUGACGUUCUUGCUCUUGGCGCAUCCGCGCCUCAGAUUCUUCUAUACGUUCUUGCAUUGAGAAAUUAUUAUCAUGGCUAGUACGAUGCAAUGCAAUCUCACACCGCGCACAAAAUUUGAAGAACCAAUCAACAUUGAAUAAUUUCAGCAUGUGAGUAUUGCGUGAUCUAUCAGAGAUUGGCGCUAAAGAUGGAAUAUUUUCACAGGUUAAGCUCUCUGGUUCCAUCAGCAGUCAAUACUUGAGUUCCUUACCGAUGGCUGCUCCUUUGGCUCUUGGGGAUGUCGAGAUUGAAAUUAUUGAUAAACUGAUCUCCGUUCCUUACAUUGAAAUGACAUUGAAACUGAUGGAGCGUUUUGGCAUGACUGCGGAGCAUUCUGAUAGUUGGGGGGACAUAUUUUACAUUAAGGGAGGACAAAAAUAGAGGGGAGUGUUUCGGAACCAUGGUCCGGCCGAACCCAUGUUGGGCGCCGUACGAUGCACUACUGCUUUACAUGUGGAUAUGUUCCCUGGUUGAAUUUAAAUUUAUUAGUUAGCUCUAACCUUUCUAAAGCCCCGUUAACCAUGGUAUACUUAUCAAUGUUGUAGUAGGCCUGCACAGUGUCAUUUUUAUUUCAAACGAGAUGGGCUGGCACACGCCCCUAAGCACUGUAGCACAUUUUUAAAAGAUCUCAUGAAAAUCAGAGUUCUGUCCUGACAUUUUAUAUGAAACGGAGUCCUGACAUUUCUAAUAAAUUAAAAUCUAAAACAGACGCUCAAGCUCUCCAGUAUUUCACUUCAUACAAAGAAUAAUUUUUCUUCAAGGGUAUCUACUGUUGUAAAUCUGUACCGACACACCGCAUACAUUCUUUUAUAUCUAUAAAGACUGCACAGAACAAUUUGAAAUGCUCAAUAAGGUUUUACAGCCUAAAAAAUGUUUGAAAAUGCAAGUAUAUACUGACACAGUGUAAAGCUAUGCUAGGCACUGCUCAUCUUAAAAAAGGUACGCCGCAUCCACAUACGUGGUUAAGUUUCACAGCUUAUAAGUAAAGCAUACAACAGAAUCAGACCCCAACUACAUCCACCAUGCAACAAAAAAAUUAAAACAAACUAGCCUCAUCUACUCUUGUUAUCAAAAAAAGGCUUUCACCCCGCUUUAUAUAUAAAGCAUCGACCAACAACACCCCAAACAAACGCACGCCACCACAACACACGCACACACCCAAGGCAAGAUACAUAAGCGCUGAGCGCAGUAACACCACCCCAAACUACAAGAGCAGUCGGGUCCUCGACCGUGAACACGACACCGCGAAGAGAUGAAGCUGCAUAUGACGAACCGUGGGCUCUAAGGCGGUGCCUUCAGGAAGGAUACGACACCGGAGCGCCGCCACCGCCCGACCUGAGAGUCAGAGUUUCCCCUAAAGCAACACGACGGGCAAUGAUGACCGCGACGACGCCUUCAGGAAGGGAGCGAGUUUCGCCGCCGCCGAUCCGUCCGAAGAUAGGACAGGUUUUCACCCCGGCCCAAACUCAUCGCCACCGAACGCCACACCCCGGCGACCAUGCCGCCCACACGACCAUGGUCACUGGGCAGCACCAAGGCACGGGCUUUGCCCAUGAGCACCGCGACACCACCACCAGGGCCGCCACCCCGGCAUCCAAAACCUCGACGCCACCUCACCAGUUACCCAGCGCCACACCACCUAUAGAGAUGGGUGGAAAGGUCCCGCCUUUCGCACCCCUGAGCUGCCCCCAACUAGCCGCCAUCGGCCCGUCCUGCUGCCGGGCGCGAGACCAGCGCGGUCCUGCCGCCGGGCGCGAGACGGGCGCGGUCCUGCUGCCGGGCGCAAGACAGGCGCGGUCCUGCAGCCGGGCGCGAGACAGGCGCGGUCCUACUGCCGAGCGCGAGACGGGCGCGGUCCUGCUGCCGGACGCGAGACGGGCGAUGUACCACAAUUGAGAAAAGCCCAGUCCUUCGAAGGAAGUGGUGCGUGGGCGACGGGGAGAAGCAUCGAAGGCCGCCGCACGCUGCCUACGGACGAACAGACGCCGAGAAUGUCAGCCGCCGCCGUAGCCGACACGCCAAGCUACCGUGGAUCCCUCCACGGCAGGAGCAGCAGCCAUACCAGGCUACUGCCCAUCCCGCGCCGCCCGCCGGACUCCAGGCGUUGAGUCCGCCGGGCACGCAGCCACCAGAUCGGCCAGCGCACCGGUCGCUCCACCUGCGCCGCCCCACGCACCACCACACCUGCGUCGCCACCUCCACCACAUACGCGCCGCCGCGCCCUGGCCAGAGCCGGCCAGCACCCCGCCCCCCACACGGAGCAGCCGAGCUGCCAGCCGCCACGCCACCACCUGAGCCCGGCCGUCGGCCACCCCCAAGGGCAUCCGCCGCCGCCACCUCCCGGAUCUGGGCAGAGGCACCCAGAUCCGACGCCAGCAAGAACCCCGCACACCCACCCCGGAUCCGCCAUGAGGGAGGACGGGACGCACCGCUGGGACGCCAGGACGCCGAAGGGAAGGGGCCGAGCACGAGGGAGAGCCGACGACCGCCACCGCCGCCGAGGAGGACCACGCCGCGCGACGCAAGACCCCAGGCGCGGGAAGAAGGCGCCCCUCCGCCGCCUACGCCGCGCGGCCUUUGGCCGGCGACGCCACCGGCUGCGGCGGGGGAGGGGAGCCGGGGCGAGGAGGGGAGGGGGUGGCGCUGGGGUUGGCUCCCGGAGUCGCCCGCGGGAGCGACUCGGGGAGCGGGGAUCUCUUUGCUCUAGUGUCGUGGUUUUGGUUAACUCAUCUACUCUUGUUCUAUACGGGAAAUCACUAAAAUGUGGAGCAUGAGACGCACAGGGCAUUGCAUGAGCAAGUCGUGGGACCAUAUCUGGCAUACAUAACAAAGGAAAUAAAACAAUAUGAACAGUGUUGGUGUGAGACAACAUUCGCCACAUCCAAAGCAACAUGCUUAUUUUAUUACAUAUGGCGCAGGCAUCCAGUAGGUUUACUUAGAACUAUAGACCUCUUAAUCUUUUCUUAAUGGUUUUUGCCAUAGUUUAUCUUACCCGCCAUGCACAAAUCCCCAUAAUAAGUAUCAGGAAAUGAGCGGUACCGAGCAUAGGUUUUGGGUAGACCAUGGUUCUACACAAUAUUUUCGGGCAAAAAUACAAGUUAUACAUUGUUCUACUUCUUCUAAUAGUGGAGUACUAAGAAAUGAUUCUAAUUUUCAGUCUACCCAAAUAUUUAUAGACACACCCCAUUUGAAUUAUUGAUAAACUAGGAGAUACCCCCUUCAUUUUUGUAUACAAGGCCACAAACACAUAUUACAGGUAUCAAAGCAAAAAUAAAUGUGUGCUUAAGUCAAUAUUGCAAGCUAGGUUGUCUCCUUGUUUGUCGUGUUUAUUAAUGCAUAUUUUUCUGUCCCAUCUACGACAAGCCAAUGCUCUCACUCCUUUUGGUUGAUUAAUGAGGUCGCAUACAAGACAACCUUCUCACACUCACAUGCAUGCAAGGGAUAAUGAAUGUCCUUCUUUGCUAGUACGAGGCAAACACCAUUAAUUUUGUCUCGAUUAGUGUUUGUGGCCUUGUAUAGUUGCAUAUUGUAAUUCUCAUUGUGGUCUUGUAUAUAAAAAUAGAGGGAGUAAUAUUGUACAAAAUCUGUCGACUGCUCAGUAGCUCUGAAGACCCUGCUACCUACAAUGCAUUGCACAGUUCUGUUUUCUGGACAUAGACUUGAUCACACCAGAAGUAUCAUCCAUCUUGAAAUUGGACUGAAAAUAGAGAAUAUCAGCAGUUGUUUGGCAAUGAGCAUCUAUGCAGAUGAUUCUUGAUUUUGCUUCUUUUGGCCCUUCUUAUCUUAUGCCCUUGCUGCCAUAUGGCCCAUCAGGAUACAAAUCCAUGCUUUUACUGAACAUACUCUUAAUUAUGUACUCGGAAACUGUUAGUUCGAACUUCAUAAAAAUUGCAGUAACUAUUUCCUAAACGAGCCAUCCAUUCUCUGGAAUCGACAGGUCCCCUGGAAAUGCCUAUGUUGAAGGUGAUGCCUCAAGUGCGAGCUAUUUCUUGGCUGGUGCUGCCAUCACCGGAGGGACUGUGACUGUUGAAGGUUGCGGCACCACCAGUUUGCAGGUAAAAUUCUACUAUCCAAUUUUACCCUUUUGGUUGAGCAUACUUGACAUAUUACAUUAUUGAAUGUAUACCAUUUUCAACCAAACAUGCUUUAAGUGGAUAUUCGUAGCUGAAUCUCUCAAACUGCUGUAUUCUGUAAGUGGCUUCCAUGUGCUGUCAUUCUCCUCCGUAACGAUGUGUAAUAUUUCAGGGUGAUGUGAAAUUCGCUGAGGUACUUGAAAUGAUGGGAGCUAAGGUUACAUGGACUGACACUAGUGUAUCUGUUACUGGCCCACCGCGUCAGCCCUUUGGAAGGAAACACUUAGGCCUUCUUUGGAUUGGAGGAUUUUCACAGGAUUUUCAUGGAAUAUCAAUCCUCAGGAUUGUUUCCUAUGAAACGCAUUUGGAUCAAAGGAUUGGGCCAUUAAAAUUCCUCAGAAUUGGGUCUUCAAGGUGUUGAUUCCAAAGGAAUUUACACAUGAGGUCCGACCUCUGGAAAAAAUCCACAGGAUUGGCUAUGUCAUGGCAAUCAAAUCCUCCAUUUUUCCUAUUCCUUUGUUUUGCAAAUCCUGUGAUCCAAAGAAGCCCUUAAAGGCUGUCGAUGUCAACAUGAACAAAAUGCCUGACGUGGCCAUGAUUCUUGCUGUUGUUGCCCUCUUUGCUGAUGGUCCAACUGCUAUCAGAGAUGGUAAACUUUCUAUGGCCUUUCAUACCUCACUAGUAGAAAACAGGGCUUUGGUCCAGGCCGGGUUAGCCCAUUAGUUCCGGUUCAGUCCAGAAUCGGGACCAAUAUGGGCAUUGGUCCCGGUUCGUGAGCCCAGGGGGCCGGCCGGGCCACGUGGGCCAUUGGUCCCGGUUCAUCUGGACCUUUUGGUCCCGGUUGGUGGGAUGAACCGGGACCAAUGGGCCUCGCUCCUGGCCCACCACCAUUGGUCCCAGUUGGUGGCUUGAACCGGGACCAAAGGCUCCCCUUCAGUCCCGGCUCAUGUCAUCAACCAGGACCAAUGAGGUGCCUAUAUAUACCCCUCGUUCGCGAGCAGAGCACCCCAGUGCUCUGUUUUUCUCUGGUCGAGGGGGAGAGGGCUUGGUGGUGCUCUAGCUCACCUCCUAUGCACACAAGGUGUUCGAUGGAAUGCCCGAGCCACACUACUUAAGCUUUCUCCUCUCCAAGCUCGACCUCCAAGCUCCAUUUUCCAUAAUAUUUGUCUAGGUUUAGCGGUCCGUCACGCCCCGUCCCCGUCUUCACCGCCGUCGAUCACCCGCGCCGAGCUCAUCGCCGGCACCACCGUGGUGAGCCUCUUGUUUUAUCUUCUUUCUGAAAGGAAAACUAUUCUUACUUGUAUGUUUACAUAGAUACUUGUAUUAUUUUCUUACUUUUAUUAUUGCAUCUUAUAUAGUGCGAUGGUUUUGGUAUCCGCCCCCGUCGGCCCUCGUCCUGUCUAUGAUUUGGACCUCGUAAUAUCAUGACCAUUAGUCCCUGGCCCAUGCCAACUUUCAACUUUCUAAAACUAAUGGCACUAACAGAAAGUUUAUAAUUUUGCUCCUCGCCCCUGGCCCAUGACCAUUAGUCCCGGUUUGUGCCACAAACCGGGACUAAAGGGUUGGUCCUCGUUGCGAGCAGAGUUUAGUCCCACCUCGCCAACCUAAGGGGGCUCACACCGGUUUAUAAGUCCUUCCCUCUCUGCCUUGUUGAGCUCCUCUCAAAGUGAAAAUAGAUGCCCUAAUAGAGAAAAGUUUAACCUAAAUUCAUAGUGAAUUUCUCUGAAAUUCAUAGAAAUUUACUAGGAAUUUAGGUUGAAUUUUCUCUAUAAGCGCAUCUAUUCUCAUUUAUUUAGUAAGUUAAUCACAAACUUGUGAUUCAAACAAUUUUCAAAGAAUUCAAAUUUUAACUAUUCAAAUUUGAAAACUAAUGGCACUAACAGAAAGUUUAUAAUUUUUCUAAAACUAAUGGCACUAACAGAAAGUUUAUAAUUUUGCUAACCAAAAAGCAAACAGAAUUAAAAAUUAAAGCAAAAUUCAAAAGAAAAUAAAUAAUGCAAAAACAANNNNNNNNNNNNNNNNNNNNNNNNNNNNNNNNNNNNNNNNNNNNNNNNNNNNNNNNNNNNNNNNNNNNNNNNNNNNNNNNNNNNNNNNNNNNNNNNNNNNNNNNNNNNNNNNNNNNNNNNNNNNNNNNNNNNNNNNNNNNNNNNNNNNNNNNNNNNNNNNNNNNNNNNNNNNNNNNNNNNNNNNNNNNNNNNNNNNNNNNNNNNNNNNNNNNNNNNNNNNNGCAGAAAAAAAACAAAAAAACAGGAAAAAAAUAGCAACAAUAAGUAUUUUGUUGUAAGUAGAAACAAAAUAAAAUAAAUAAAGCAACAAAGAAAACAAAAAAACAAAAAAAGUGUUUUCAAAUUUGAAAACUAAUGGCAUUAACAAAAAGUUUAUAAUUUUUCUAAAACUAAAAGCAUAAAGAAUUAAAAAAUAAAGCAAAAAACAAAAGAAAAUAAAUAAAGCAACAAAAAACAAAAAAAAUGCCACCUACUGGGCCCCCACGGCCUGAAUACGACUAGAAACCCAUCCAAGGGCUAGGAUUCAGGCCCGCAGGAGGCCCAGUAGGCCCACAGGCAUAGCAGUGACAAUUAGGCCCGUAAGCCUGCAACAGAGAGGAGCUCGAGAGGGGUGCGACAGUGGGGCUUAUAAACCACUGCGCACCCCUCUCAACUAGCGAGGUGGGACUAUUUCGACGCAGCAGCCGCACAAGGCCUUUGGCACCAACCGGGGCUAAAGGGGGCCAUUGGUCACGGUUCGUGGCACAAACCGUGACCAAUGCCCCCCUUUAGUCCCGGUUGGUGCCANNNNNNNNNNNNNNNNNNNNNNNNNNNNNNNNNNNNNNNNNNNNNNNNNNNNNNNNNNNNNNNNNNNNNNNNNNNNNNNNNNNNNNNNNNNNNNNNNNNNNNNNNNNNNNNNNNNNNNNNNNNNNNNNNNNNNNNNNNNNNNNNNNNNNNNNNNNNNNNNNNNNNNNNNNNNNNNNNNNNNNNNNNNNNNNNNNNNNNNNNNNNNNNNNNNNNNNNNNNNNNNNNNNNNNNNNNNNNNNNNNNNNNNNNNNNNNNNNNNNNNNNNNNNNNNNNNNNNNNNNNNNNNNNNNNNNNNNNNNNNNNNNNNNNNNNNNNNNNNNNNNNNNNNNNNNNNNNNNNNNNNNNNNNNNNNNNNNNNNNNNNNNNNNNNNNNNNNNNNNNNNNNNNNNNNNNNNNNNNNNNNNNNNNNNNNNNNNNNNNNNNNNNNNNNNNNNNNNNNNNNNNNNNNNNNNNNNNNNNNNNNNNNNNNNNNNNNNNNNNNNNNNNNNNNNNNNNNNNNNNNNNNNNNNNNNNNNNNNNNNNNNNNNNNNNNNNNNNNNNNNNNNNNNNNNNNNNNNNNNNNNNNNNNNNNNNNNNNNNNNNNNNNNNNNNNNNNNNNNNNNNNNNNNNNNNNNNNNNNNNNNNNNNNNNNNNNNNNNNNNNNNNNNNNNNNNNNNNNNNNNNNNNNNNNNNNNNNNNNNNNNNNNNNNNNNNNNNNNNNNNNNNNNNNNNNNNNNNNNNNNNNNNNNNNNNNNNNNNNNNNNNNNNNNNNNNNNNNNNNNNNNNNNNNNNNNNNNNNNNNNNNNNNNNNNNNNNNNNNNNNNNNNNNNNCACAUGUAUCUCACACCGACGAUACUUUCUAUUUAGGGUUUCCUCUACCGUUCGACGACCCUGACCCUCGACGACCCUCGUUUCCGAUAAAAUAAAGAGGAAGAAGAAGAAAAAAAAGAGAAGAAGAGAAGAAGAAGAAAAAAGAGAGGAGAAUUCACAUCCACGUCCCACAAGUGGCGCGGGCUUCGACGCCCACGUCACUUGUGGGACGUGGAUGUAGUGUCCAACACCGACGACCACAUGUAUCUCACACCCACGAUACUUGCUAUUUAGGGUUUCCUCUAUCGCUCGGUGACCCUCAAUGACCCUCGUUCCCGAUAAAAAAAGAGGAAGAAGAAGAAAAAAAGAGGAGAAGAAAGAAUAGAGGAGUUAGAACUCCUCUAUUCUUUCUUCUCCUCUUUUUUUCUUCUUCCUCUUCUUUUUUUAUCCUUGAAGCGUUGUCGAGGCCACCCCAAACCCUAGAGAAGCAGCGUCGAGGCCACUAAUUAAUAUUAGUUCUACGUUUUUGCCACUAAUAUAUCCAUCUGUCAUGUUUGAAUAAUAAUUGCCAUGUUGUCAAUAUUUGUAGAAACUAUGGACACCGCCCGAGACGAAGUACAAGAAGAGUUGUUGGGGGACAUAAUCACACGAGGAAGUGAUGCCAUCUGCUCGUUGUUUCUCAAUGAGACCGAUGGUCUGGAAGCAGCUGAUUAUGAUGGCUCCGGUGACCUAAUGCCGGUGCAAGAAGGAGACCGUGAGGACGGCUCCGGUGACCCAAUGCCGGUGCAAAAAGGAGACCGUGAUGACGUCUCCGGUGACCGAACCGAGUCCGGCCAGGUAUAUAUAUUAGUUAAGCUUUUGCUGACUAGCUAAUUGAUGCAUUCAUUGUUUUGGUAUGUACACAUAUUAAUUAAGUAUUUGUUGUUUUUUCUAGCCCUCCGGAUCGAGCACAACUUCGGUAAAGAGACGAGGCCCGAAGAAAAAGUUGAGCUCGGAUGAAAAGUUUGAGAUCAUAGCAAUCACGCCCGAUGGCCAACCGAUUGAACCCCUCCGGACAAAGAGCACAUUUGUUGCUCAGUGCGGGGUUUUGGUUAGGGACAAGAUCCCAAUCAGCAUCUAGCAAUGGUUUAAGCCGGCUACAGAAGACCCUGAGGUGUCUUAUGUCAAUGAUAUGCAGAAAAAUGAUCUUUGGACUGAGCUGAAGUCAAAUUUCACCCUACCGCCAGAGGAUAAUCCAGAGAACCCAGUUAAAGAGCAAUUAAUCAAGUCUUUUGCUCUUAAGAGGAUGGUAGAACUAUUCAGGAGGUGGAAGAAAGAGCUGAAUAAGUUUGUCGAAAAUAAUGAGACACUAGAAUUCAAGGGCAGAUAUGAGAAUAUCAGAGAUCACUGGCCCGCAUUUGUGGCCCACAAGACAUCGGAAAAGAGUAAGAAGAUGUCGGCGACAAACAAGCAAAAUGCUGCGAAGAAGAAGCAUCACCAUCGCACGGGGUCAGGUGGCUACCUCGUAGCCCGGCCUAAGUGGGCCAAGACUGAGAAUGAUCUGGUUGAUAAAGGGAUCGAACCAGAGACAAUUAACUGGCCAGACCAUUUCCGGACUUGGUUCUUCGGGGCUGGCGGAACCUUGGACCCUGUAACAGGGAAGUGCAUUUGGACGAACGAUUAAAUGGACAUACCAGUCAGGAAGCUUCAACACUAUAUCAAAGCAGCGCAGCAAGGGACGUUCUUUCCAGACAGAGAGAACAACGAGCUCACAAUGGCCCUUGGGAAUCCUGAGCACCCUGGACGGACACGAGGCACGCUAGGCUCCAUUCCGUGAAAGGUUGGGUUUCCGGACGCAGGCGGUUACAAAUCCCAUGAGAGGAGGAAAAAAGUGUAGCAGACCCAAAUGCAGGUGCUGCAAGCAAGGGUACAAGCGAUAGAGGAACGAGAAGCAAAUCGCAGCAAAUGUACUGCCGAAGCUUCCCCCGAAGCUAGCCCGCCAUCUCAGCGGAGAAGCAGCGUGGCUUCCACCGAGCUGCUUCAGCCGGAGCAUGCCUUGACGGCUCCUGCCAGCUAUCCCGUGGAUGCUAUCACGAAGUCUCAAAAUUGCCACCUUAUGACGCAAUGGAUGAAUUUGAAGGUCAAGGCGGCUGUUGGCUCUGUUUAUCCUACUGAACCCGGUACAACUUUUCACUGCCGGCCGAUUCCAGAAGGAUAUGCUAGGGUGAUGGUGGAUGAAAUAACGGAGGGAUUUGAGGACCUCCAGCUUGACCACCCUACCGGUGAAGGGGAGACUAGGCUGGGGUCUGCUCUGAAGAUUCUAUGCCUAUGGCGGAAGGAGCUCAUCAACCUUCCGAACUAGACGCCUCCGCCUCCUCCUCCUCCUCCGGCAAGUCAGGGCACUCCGCCUCCUCCACCGCCUCCUCCUCCGGCGAGUCAGGGCACUCCGCCUCCUCCACCGCCUCCUCGUCCGGCGAGUGACGAUCAGGGCACUCGACCGGCUCCUUCUCCAGCGCGUGGCGGCACUCCGCCUCCUUCUACGCCUGCGCCGACGCGCCCGAGCAGCCAGCCUCCUCCUUCUCCGCCUCGUCAGCAAGGGCGGAAGAGACCUGCCGCCGCUCUGGCUGCUCCGGCGCGUCGUAGUCCUUCUCCUCCGCCUCGUAAGCAAGUAAAGAAGACAACCACUCCGUCUGCUUGGCCGGCGUCUAGCAGUACAGCCAGAGGCGGGAGGACAUACAGAUUUGGUCCUUCUCUGAAGACUCCAGAGAAGUUACCAUACGAUUUUAGCGAUUUUGUGGAGAAGUUGCGAUUCUUCCGAGUUCUCUCAUCAUGGUGUCUGCUGGAGUUUUGGUCAAGGGUCAAGAGAUCCGUCUCGGCACUCUCACCUUCAUCGCCGACGACUCCGCAUGGCUCCAGGAGGCUCCACUCGACGUAGACGCGCUCCCCGUCCGCGGUGCGACGCAUUUUCGCGCAUGUGUCCGCGGCGUUCUGCUGCGGCAACCGUCGACCCAGUAUCGGUCGGCUCCUCCAUCGUCCACCCUCCCGGUCUCCCGCCAGCGCAAGCGCUCAGGCCGGUCGAGGCUUCAGCGAUGGGUGAGUCACGCGGUGGCUCGCCAAUCGGCCACUACACAAGUUGCGGCAAUCGAGCCCAACGAAUCUCUCUACGGCUUGUUCGAUCAGUCGACUGGCUCCGGAGAGACCGCAUCCGAGUGCGGAAGCAGUGAUCCAGCGGCGGAAAUCUUGAUGGUCGACGGGCCCCGCAGCCCUCCUGGCUUCGCCCGUGGUGGUGGAGCAGGUGACGACGGCGACCCUGCACGAGACUACGAAGAGUACCAGCCCGAGCCACUCGACUCUCUGCAAAGAGAAGAGCUUCGCCGCAGGAACGAGGAUCCCCUGCGUAUUCCCAUCGCAGGAGAAACCCCCGAGGCUCGUGCCUUGGAGGAGGCGCGUCUGGCCAAUUUGGCCGAGCGCACUCGACUGGAGAACCUUCAGCGAGCACUCGACGAGCGCGCGCGGCAACGAGUUCCCGACACCAGUCGACGUCAACUCUUCCCGCCGACUCAGGUAUAUCGAACCCCAAUUCAGAAUUUAGCAGCUGCGACCCGUAUAGCAGAGUCCAUUCAGCCUUCGCAGUCGGAAGCUGGCAGAGGUUUGCUGCAGAUCAGGGAUCUGCUCCGGGCAGCAGGAGAUCAGAAUUCAGCCGUGUCUCAGUCGCGCAACAGAAUUCACAGUCGAUCUGUCACUGUGAAUACGGUUCAGUCGGCUCACAGCCCCAGAUCGCCUCCGCGGCGCGAAAGGCGUGAGAAUCGGCGAGAUCAAUAUGGCGACAGACUCGACCGAGAUGAUAGGCGUCGAGUGCCCUAUUCCCCUCCGAGGGGUGGGUCUUACGCUCCUCGGCAGCCAGAUGAUAGGCGUCAGUACAGUACAGGGCGUAGGGUUCCAGUUGACCCCAGAGAGCCAGGCUUCGACGCGCGAUCCAUUAUCGUGCAAGGGUUGGUCGACCGGAACAGAGCCCAUCGAGGCGCACUCGACAGAGAUGUACCCACGAGCAGUCGAGUACAUGUUUCUGGUCCUGAAUGUUUCAGCAGAGCUAUCAGAGCCGCAGUUAUCCCCCCCAAUUUCAGGUUGGCAACAGGAGUCAGCAAGUUCACUGGUGAGUCUAAGCCUGAAACUUGGCUUGAAGACUACCGAGUGGCAGUUCAGAUCGGUGGUGGGAACGACGAGGUGGCCAUGAAGCAUUUGCCCCUCAUGUUGGAAGGUUCUGCCAGGGCAUGGUUGACUCAAUUACCUCCUAGCAGCAUUUACACUUGGGAAGAUCUGUCCCGAGUGUUCGUCAGAACGUUUGAAGGGACUUGCAAGCGGCCAGCGGGAUUGACAGAGUUGCAAGUCUGCGUGCAGAAAACUAAUGAGACUCUCAGAGAGUAUAUUCAGAGGUGGAUCACUUUGCACCACACUGUGGAAAAUGUCUCUGAUCAUCAGGCAGUAUGCGCCUUCAAAGACGGCGUCAAGAACAGAGAACUGAGUUUGAAAUUUGGUCGAACCGGUGACAUGACCUUGAGUCGGAUGAUGGAGAUUGCUACCAAGUACGCCAACGGCGAAGAAGAAGACCGACUCCGAAGCGGCAAGCACAAGCCGAGUCAGUCGGAAAAAGGAAACACCAGUCGGAAACAGAAGCGGAAGGCUGAACCGGCAGCUCCUGGAGAGGCUCUAGCCGUGACUCAAGGAAAGUUUAAGGGGAAACCAAAAGGAUCCUGGAACCCCAAGAAGGUAAAGGAUAAAGAAGGGAACGACGUGAUGGAUAUGCCGUGUCACAUUCACACGAAGAAAGAUGAAGAGGGGAAUAUCAUUUACCCAAAGCACACCACUCGCCAAUGUCGACUCCUGAUCCAGCAGUUUCAGGGAAAACAGUCUAAGGACAAGGAGAAGGAGUCGGACAAGGCCGAAGACAAAGAGGACAGUGAGGGAGGAUAUCCGCAUAUCAACUCCACUCUGAUGAUCUUUGCAGAUGUGGAAAGCAGAAGUCGACUGAAAGUGAUUAACCGAGAGGUGAACAUGGUUGCCCCAGCAAAGGCAAAUUAUCUGAAGUGGUCUCAAACACCCAUCACAUUCGACCAAACUGAUCACCCGACUCAUAUUGCCACCCCCGGGAGGCAAGCUUUGGUGGUCGAUCCAGUUGUCGAAGGCACUCGACUGACAAAGGUGCUGAUGGAUGGUGGAAGUGGGCUGAACUUAUUGUAUGCAGACACAUUGAAAGGUAUGGGCAUUCCGAUGUCCCGACUGAGCACUAGUAACAUGAGCUUCCAUGGAGUUAUACCAGGGAAGAAGGCCGAGUCACUCGGCCAGAUAGCUUUGGACGUAGUGUUUGGUGAUUCGAAGCAUUUUCGCAAAGAAAAGUUGACGUUUGAGGUCGUGGAUUUUCAAAGUGCAUAUCAUGCCAUUUUGGGGAGACCAGCCUAUGCACGGUUCAUGGCUCGACCAUGUUACGUGUACCUCAAAUUGAAGAUGCCCUGUCCCAAAGGUGUGAUCACUGUCACCGGUGAUAGGAAAAAGGCAGAGGAGUGCUUUCAGAAGGGCUCCAAGAUUGCCGAUUCCCAAGUGACAGCGGUCGAGUUCGAAGAAUACAAGCAAAACGCAGAUCCGAGUGACUUGCUGCGAUCCAAGAAGCCCGCCACAGAGUCUGCAUUCCAGUCGUCCGGUGAGACGAAGCCUGUUCACAUUCACCCAACCGACCCCGAAGCAGCUCCGACCCGCAUCUCCACAACACUCGACCCAAAAUAGGAAGAAGCGCUCAUCCAGUUCCUCCGUGAGAACUGGGACAUUUUUGCAUGGAAGCCCGCUGACAUGCCAGGUGUUCCCAGGGGACUGGCUGAGCAUCACCUAAGAGUCGACUCGUCUGCAAAACCAGUCAAAGAGCAUCUUCGGCGGUCCGCCGUCCAGAAGAGAAAGGCCAUCGGUGAAGAAGUGGCUCGACUGUUGGCGGCAGGAUUUAUCCGAGAGAUAUACCACUCCGAGUGGCUCGCUAAUGUCGUCAUGGUUCCUAAGAAGGACAAGUCGCUCCGAAUGUGCAUUGAUUUCAAGCACAUCAACCGGGCCUGCCCGAAAGAUCACUUUCCUCUCCCUCGCAUAGAUCAAAUUGUUGACUCGACCGCGGGAUGCGAGAGGUUGUCUUUUUUAGAUGCUUACUCCGGGUACCACCAGAUCCGUCUGUACGGGCCCGAUGAGGUAAAAACAGCUUUCAUCACUCCAUUCGGGUGCUUCUGCUAUAUCACUAUGCCAUUCGGCCUCAAGAAUGCCGGAGCCACAUUUAUGCGAAUGAUUCAGAAGUGUCUACUCACCCAAAUCAGUCAGAAUGUGGAAGCUUAUAUGGAUGAUAUUGUUGUCAAGUCACGAAAAGGUUCCGACCUGCUCGCUGACCUCGCCGAAACAUUUGCCAACCUCAGAAGGUAUGAUAUCAAGCUCAAUCCAUCAAAGUGCACAUUUGGAGUUCCUGGUGGCAAGUUACUCGGUUUUCUCGUUUCCGAACGGGGAAUCGACGCUAACCCAGAGAAGAUUGGCACUAUUCUCCGAAUGAAACGCCCUGUGCGAGUGCACGAUGUCCAGAAGCUUACUGGAUGCUUGGCCGCAUUAAGUCGAUUCAUCUCACGACUCGGUGAAAAGGCACUGCCUCUUUACCGACUGAUGAAGAAGGCUGACAAGUUCGAGUGGACUCCAGAAGCUGAUGCAGCGUUUGCCGAGCUAAAAGCUCUGCUCUCCACCUAGCCGGUGCUUGCUGCUCCAAUCAGCAAAGAGCCUCUGUUGCUCUACAUCGCAGCCACAGGACAAGUCGUCAGUACUGUGCUAACGGUCGAGCGGGAAGAAGAAGGAAAAGCUCUCAAAGUUCAGCGCCCAGUGUAUUAUUUGUCUGAAGUCUUGACUCCAUCCAAGUAGAGAUAUCCUCAUUAUCAGAAGCUUGUGUAUGGAAUAUACAUGACCACAAAGAAGGUUGCUCAUUAUUUCUCUGACCAUUCCAUCACAGUCGUCAGCGACGCUCCACUAUCAGAGAUUUUGCACAACAGAGAUGCAACUGGUCGAGUGGCCAAAUGGGCGAUUGAACUUCUUCCCCUUGAUAUCAAGUUUGAGGCAAAGAAAGCCAUUAAGUCCCAGGCGAUAGCAGAUUUCCUCGCCGAGUGGAUUGAACAACAGCAACCGACUGAAGUUCACUCGGAGCAUUGGACCAUGUUUUUCGAUGGCUCUAAGAUGUUGAAUGGUUCCGGUGCUGGGGUUGUCCUGGUUUCCCCCAGAGGAGAUAAGCUCAGAUAUGUGCUCCAGAUUCACUUUGAUUCCUCCAACAAUGAGGCAGAAUAUGAGGCCCUCCUAUAUGGGUUGCGCAUGGCCAUUUCACUCGGCGUCCGUCGCCUAAUGGUCUAUGGCGACUCGGAUUUAGUGGUCAAUCAGGUGAUGAAAGAGUGGGACGUGAGAAGCCCAGCCAUGACUGGAUACUGCAGUGCAGUGAGGAAGCUGGAGAAGAAGUUCGAGGGGUUGGAGCUCCAUCAUAUACCCCGACUGAAAAAUCAAGCAGCUGAUGAUCUAGCAAAGAUAGGUUCCAAGAGAGAAGCCAUUCCGAGUGGUGUGUUCUUGGAGCAUAUACACACUCCGUCAGUCAAAGAGGAUCCUUUCACCGAAGAAACUCCGCAGCCCAAGAGCGCCACAGAUCCGACUGAAGUUGAAGUCCCAGCGGUGGUCGACUUGAUCAUGGAGGUUUUGGUGGUCAUUCCCGACUGGACGAUUCUGUAUGUCGCAUAUAUCUUGAGGAAAGAGCUUCCGGAGGAUGAAGAAGAGGCUCGACAGAUCGUCCGUCGAUCUAAGGCCUUUACCGUAAUCAAAGGACAAUUAUACAGAGAAAGCGCGACUGGAGUCGGUCAGAAGUGCAUAACACCAGAAGAAGGUCGACUCAUCCUCAAUGAUAUUCACUCGGGGACCUGUGGUCAUCAUGCGUCCUCUCGGACCAUCGUGGCCAAAGCAUACCGAGCCGGAUUUUACUGGCCCAAGGCGAAUGAGAUGGCAAAAGAGAUAGUAGAUAAGUGCGAGGGAUGUCAGUUCUACUCGAAUAUGUCGCACAAGCCUGCGUCAGCUUUGAAGACCAUCCCACUCGUCUGGCCUUUUGCAGUUUGGGGGCUGGACAUGAUCGGUCCUUUGAGAACAGGACGAAGUGGCUUCACGCAUGUACUGGUGGCAGUCGACAAGUUCACCAAGUGGAUCGAGGCUAAACCAAUCAAGAGCCUUGACACCGGUACUGCUGUUAGCUUCAUCAGGGAACUAAUAUUCAGAUAUGGAGUUCCGCACAGCAUCAUUACGGAUAAUGGGUCGAACUUUGACUCAGAGGAAUUCAGAGCUUUCUGCGACUCCCAGGGCACACAGGUCGACUACGCAUCAGUCGCCCAUCCGCAGUCGAAUGGACAAGCAGAGCGAGCUAAUGGACUGAUUCUCAAGGGACUGAAGCCUCGACUGAUGCGUGAUCUCAAACACGCGGCUGGAGCUUGGGUCGACGAACUUCCAUCUGUACUCUGGGGACUGCGGACCACGCCUAAUCGGUCGACCGGAAGAACUCCAUUCUUCUUGGUCUAUGGAGCUGAAGCAGUCUUGCCGAGUGAUCUUCUCCACAAUGCUCCUCGAGUUGAAAUCUACAACGAAGCAGAAGCUGAACAAGCGCGGCAGGACGCAGUCGACCUUUUAGAGGAAGAAAGGGAGAUGGCUCUGAUCCGGUCGACCAUCUACCAACAAGAUCUGCGCCGUUUCCACGCCCGAAAUGUGAGAGGUCGAGCCUUCCAGGAAGGGGAUUUGGUUCUCCGAGUGGAUCAGCACAAACCACACAAGCUUGCUCCUUCUUGGGAAGGCCCCUUCAUCGUCACCAAGGUUCUCCACAACGGGGCGUACCGUCUUUACAACGUCGAGCAUAAUAUCGACGAGCCCCGAGCUUGGAACGCGGAGCUACUCCGCCCAUUUUACACUUAAGUUUUAUCACUCGGAUGAGUUGCAACAAAGUACUUCUGUAGUUCAUGGACCUCAAAAUAAUAGUGUCAUAGUUCCUCCAUAAUUUCUGUCACUUUUUAUUUUUGUCCACAAUAAAAUUCCCCCUCAGUGGGUGACUUAGCCGCGAAUCCGUUUCGCCUAAGUUUGUAAAAAUCCUACCGAGUGGUGAGCCAGACUCUCACUCGGAGGCUUAGCUGCAAAUCCGUUUCGCCUAAGUUAUAAAAAUCCUACCGAGUGGUAAGCCUGACUUCCACUCGGAGGCUUAGCUGCAGCCUCGUGCUCGCCUAAGUUGUAAAAAAUCCUACCGAGUGAAGAGCAACCCUCCCACUCGGGGGCUUAGCUGCAGCCCUGUGCUCGCCUAAGUUAUAAAAAUCCUACCGAGUGAAGAGCAAUCCUCUCACUCGGAGGCUUAGCUGCAGCCUCGUGCUCGCCUAAGUUAUAAAAAUCCUACCGAGUGGUAAGCCAGCCUUCCACUCGGAGGCUUAGCUGCAGUCUGAGCACUCGCCUAAGUUAUAAAAAUCCUACCGAGUGGGGAGCAACCCUCCCACUCGGGGGCUUAGCUGCAGUGCAAGCACUCGCCUAAGUUAUCAAAAUCCUGCCGAGUGGCGAGCCAGACUCUCACUCGGAGGCUUAGCUGUGAAUCCGUUUCGCCUAAGUUAUCAAAUUCCUACCGAGUGGUAAGCCAGCCUUCCACUCGGAGGCUUAGCUGCAGCCUUGUGCUCGCCUAAGUUAUAAAAAUCCUACCGAGUGAAGAGAAACCCUCUCACUCGGGGGCUUAGCUGCAGUCCAAGCACUCGCCUAAGUCGUGAAAAUCCUACCGAGUGAAGAGCAAUCCUCUCACUCGGAGGCUUAGCUGCAGCCUCGUGCUCGCCUAAGUUAUCAAAAUCCUACCGAGUGGUAAGCCAGCCUUCCACUCGGAGGCUUAGCUGCAGUCUAAGCACUCGCCUAAGUUAUAAAAAUCCUACCGAGUGGAGAGCAACCCUCCCACUCGGGGGCUUAGCUGCAGUGCAAGCACUCGCCUAAGUUAUCAAAAUCCUGCCGAGUGAAGAGCAAUCCUCUCACUCGGGGGCUUAGCUGCAGUGCAAGCACUCGCCUAAGUUAUCAAAAUCCUGCCGAGUGAAGAGCAAUCCUCUCACUCGGGGGCUUAGCUGCAGCCAUGUGCUUGUCUAAGUUAUCAAAAUCCUACCGAGUGGUAAGCCAGCCUUCCACUCGGAGGCCUAGCUGCAGCCUCGUGCUCGCCUAAGUUAUGAAAAUCCUACCGAGUGAAGAGCAAUCCUCUCACUCGGAGGCUUAGCUGCAGCCUCGUGCUCGCCUAAGUUAUCAAAAUCCUACCGAGUGAAGAGCAACCCUCUCACUCGGAGGCUUAGCUGCAGCCCUGUGCUCGCCUAAGGUAUAAAAAUCCUGCCGAGUGGAGAGCAACCCUCUCACUCGGGGGGCUUAGCUGCAGCCCAGUGCUCGCCUAAGUAGACUAAAGAAUAAGUCGAUUGCAGCACAGGCACCUUGCUUUGAACCUGCAAAAGACAUUCCGAGCCGAAGGCAAUCGUAUUCAAGCACCAAAUUCAAGUUUGAAUCGAUAUCUAAAGGAACCGAAAGUGCUCAGGUGUCAAGCCUGUUAAAGUUUGUCGGUUACAAUUCCACUCGGCAUACCGAGGCAAAUUUAAAGCGUCGAGCCAGAAGAAGUUUUUUACCCCUCCUGUGGAGGGCUGGAAGGUGCAACAAAUUCAUCAAGGUCAAUUCCGUCGGCGAUCCGAGUGGCAGCUGCAAGGAAAGUCUCCAUAAAGGACCUGAAGUCGUGCUUCUUGGUAUUGGCCACCCGAAGGGCCGCCAGCUUCUCUUCUCGCGCAUCUUUGCAGUGGACUCGGGCCAGACACAGAGCGACAUCUGCACCACACCGAGCCGAGGACUUCUUCCACUCCUGCACUCGACCAGGGAUCGUGUUCAAGCGGGCCAUCAACGACUCAAGGUCAUUCUGAAGCGUCUCCUCAGGCCAGAGCGUCGAGUCGAUGCGAGAUGUGGCGGCCUUCAGCCUUGCGAGAUAGUCCACGACAGCUGCAACACGAGACUCCAGUCGGAAAACAUCCAUGGCAACUUCGUCGUUCACCGGAGAAUUGACGGGGUCAAGGUUUGGCUCCAGUCGGCUGGUUUCUUCUUCAAAGUUUUGACAAAAUUCUGCAAGGGUGAUCACUAAGUCAAGGGGAUAGUCGAAUGGAAAAGGCCACAAUUGGAAAUAUUUGCCAAACAUGGAGGUUUACCUUCAAGCAUAAGAAACAGCUUCUUGGCAAGGCCACUCAGGAAGGCCUCCAAUUCAGUUUUCUUCUCAGUCAAUUUGCUGACUUGGACGGUCAGGGCAGCUUUAUCAAUUUUCAGUCGACUGACCUCCUUGUUGGCAAUCCCAAGAGCAGCUUUCAGAUUGGUAUUGUCUUGUUCGAGCUUGGUGACUGAAGCUAACUUCUCGUCAGCAAGCUUGAUCUUCUCAGCUAGCUCAAGGUCUUUCUUCUGCUGGGCCUCCCUUACCUUACCUGCAAGUUACAGCAAGAUCAGAUUUUGAAACAAGCAAGGGGAAAAGCAGUCGUCAGGGUCUCACCAAACAUACCUUCGGUCUCCUCCUUUGCCUUUGUCAGCUUCUCCUGAACCAGCUUCAAGCUCAGCUCGACUUGAGUAUGUUUUUGUUCCAGCUCUGAGUAGCGAGCCACAAGAUCACAAGAGUUCUGCGAAGAACCAAUCGACUAAAUGUCAAAAAUAAUUCACUUCCGAGUGAAAAGAGAAAAACACACGUUUCUAAGACUACAGCCGAAUACAAGCAUUCGACCGUAGUCUCGGGGACUACACCCAGUGGGUGCACUCAGCGUGCCCCCACUAAUCCUGUUGAAGACAAAGUCGACCAGUCGACCUCAAAAGAAAAAAAAGUGUGCGAGAUGCAUUCUCUAAGACUGUGAUCAACUGCAAGCAGUCGACCACAGUCUCGGGGACUACACCCAGUGGGUGCACUCAGCGUGCCCCCACCGGUUUGUGAAAUCCAGUCGACCAGUCGACUGACAGAAAGAUUGACAUUGUAAAGCCUAAGGCCGACUGCCAGCAGUCGACCUUAGCCUUGGGGACUACACCCAGUGGGUGCACUCAGCGUGCCCCCACCGGUUUGUGAAAUCCAGUCGACCAGUCGACUGACAGAAAAAUUGACAUCAUAAAGACUAAGGCCGACUGCCAGCAGUCGACCUUAGCCUUGGGGACUACACCCAGCGGGUGCACUCAGCGUGCCCCCGCUAACACGGAGUUUAUUCGACACACCCAGUGGGUGACUAAUAUAAAUUCCGGAAAAGAAAAGUUUUUGGUAGCAUAUCCAACAGAACAAACAACGGUCGACUGACCUGGACAUUGCUUUGGAGGGCAGAACUGGCGUCAUAAGCUGCCUGGCUCGCGUCCCGGAUGGUCUUCAGCUGCUCCAUCAUGAGUCCCGCCUGGCGUAUCGCCUCCUUCGCUGCGCCAGCUUGGUCCUCUGGGACGUGGUGCGUCGUGAAGAGGGAGGGCUGCUGAGCACUCGUCAGUGGAUUUGCGAAGGACACCGUGUGUCGAGUGGUGGUCUCUUCCUCCACAGUCAGAAUCUCAGGCACCGUCACGUCCUGAGGCACCUUACUGGCGGACGCUUUCCGACUCCUCCUGUGCUUCAGCGGCUCUUCAUCCUCAUCAUCAUCAGGAAGAUUGAUAACAGUAUUGGGCGGAGCUGCAAAGAAGAAUCAGGAUCAGAGGUCGCGAGUCAGUCGACUAAAAACGGUGUUAAGAAUACAGUACCUGGGUUCGAAGUUGCCGCAUCCUCCAUCUCGUGGUCAUCGGCCCGGGCCGAGGUCUCAGAAGUAGCAGCACUGCAACUCCAAAGGAUCAGUCGACUAACUUCAGCGUCGACCAGAAAUAAAGUUCACACAGAAUAAGAAAAUAUGAGCAGCACGGUUACCCUGAUAUGGUCGGGAUGGACACCUUCAUCUUCGGCAAGAGUUUGAUCGGCUUCGACGAGGCCGCCCUGGGCUGCUUCGGCGCCUUUUCAGUCGGCGCUGGAGAGGUGGUCCUAGGGCGCUUGGUCGACUGCGUCGCAACCCCCUUGCCACGUUCAGUCGAAGGGUCGUGGACGAGCUUCGACCACCUUUCCGAGCGCGGUGGCACGACCUCCUCCUCCUCCUCUUCCUCGUCCUCGACGUCGUCUUCAUCACUGACAUCAUCAUCAUCAUCGUCGUCAUCGUCCUCUGCGACAUCCGAGUCCCAUUCCUCCUCUUCCUGGCUCUCGCCUCCGCUCGCCUCGCCCUCCUCAGUCGAAGCUUGUGCCCCAUUGGGCAUCGAGUACAGCUCGGUGAGGGCCUAACAAAUGCCCAGACAAGAAUCAGUCGACCAGUCGGCAGGAUUAACAGAAAUGAAUACGACGAGGGUGCAGUAGAGAGCAGAGCAAGUGUACCUUGUUUGAGUCGCUGUUGUGGUCGAGUGGAGGAACCCUUCUGGCUCCGCGCGGGUUGUCCUUGUUUCCGGUGACGACCGCCAUCCAUCUUUCCAGAGUGACAUCGUCGACUGCUUCUGGAUGGACUCUGGUCUCGUCUUCGGUCCCACAGUACAACCACAUGCAGUGGCUCCGGAACUGGAGAGGCUGGAUGCGACGCCUGAGGAAAACCUCCAAGAGGUCCAUGCCUGUCACUCCCUCCCGAACCAACUGCACCACGCGCUCCAUCAACAUCUUCACGUCGGCUCUCUCCUCCGGAAUCAGCUUCAGAGGGGAAGGCUUGCUCACUCGGUCCAUGGUGAACGGAGGGAGUCCACUCGACUGCCCUGGCGUCGACUGGACCUGGCAGUAGAACCAAGUCGACUGCCAGCCUCUGACGGACUCGGGAAAGGUCAUGGGCGGGAAGGUGCUCUUAUUCCUCACCUGAAUCCCCAGGCCUCCGCACAUUUGGACGACUCGGGUUCUCUCAUCACCUGGGCUCGCCUUCUUCACAGUCUGAGAUCGACACGUGAAUAUAUGUUUGAACAAACCCCAGUGCGGUCGACAGCCCAAGAAACCCUCACACAUGGGCACGA
rnacentral:lncRNA from 1 species